CGAACAGACAGCAUGAUCAGGAUGGCCGAUGGACCAUAAGAAAAUGAGAGCAUAAGUUGCCAUCACCAAGAUCGACUUCUGAUUAAAUAACGCCCAAGUGUUCAUCGUUCUCAUUUCUCAUGGAGCAACACACAGGCUACAUCCAGGACAUGAAGCAAGCGGGCAGAUCAGACCAUUUCCCCCCAGAGAUCAUUGUAAUUUACACCAUGAUGUCACAAUUUGAACCACGCAUUGUGUGUGCAGUUCACUGCAGUUGCCUUGAUGGCUACAACUCGCAGGUAGCGAGCGCCGACGCCUCACUUGCCGGGAACAAAGUUUGUGGCAAACGCCCAUGCGUUGUUGUUGACAGGGUCAGAGAGGUGGUCGGCGAGGUUCUCGAGUGGGCCCUUGCCGGUGACGAUGGCCUGCACGAAGAAGCCAAACAUAGAGAACAUGGCAAGGCGUCCGUUCUUGACUUCCUUCACCUUGAGCUCCGCGAAUGCCUCUGGAUCGUCAGCCAGGCCUAGUGGGUCAAAGCUGCCGCCAGGGUAGAGUGGGUCGACUAUCUCACCAAGUGGGCCGCCGGCAACGCGGUACCCUUCAACGGCACCCAUGAGCACGACUUGGCAUGCCCAGAUAGCAAGGAUGCUCUGUGCAUGCACGAGGCUGGGGUUGCCGAGGUAGUCAAGGCCACCCUCGCUGAAGAUCUGGGAACCGGCCUUGAACCAUACGGCCUCACCGAACUUGACGCCGUUGCGUGCAAGAAGCUCGGGGAAGACGCAUCCGAGCGCACCAAGCAUGGCCCACCGGCAGUGGAUCACCUCGAGCUCCCGGUUCUUGGCAAAGGUCUCAGGAUCGGCCGAUAGCCCGGCGGUGUCCCACCCAUAGUCGCCGGGGAACUCGCCAGUCAAGUAGCUCGGGGGCUCUCCAGAAAGCGGGCCGAGGUAGAGCACACGGUCAGCACCGUACCACGGGCUGCCUGAUGAAACUGGCUUGGCCUUUGCAGCGGUCUUGCGCAUAGUGACACGGGCCUCACCAAAGAGAGCUGAUGAAGCCACGUUCUUCACUGACUCGCCGGCUAAGGCCGAGGAGAGGGACAUGGUGGUAGUCGCCAUUGCGCUGCUAAGGCGGGAGGUGUAUUGUGUGUUCCAAACAGUGAAAACUGAAGAGUGAGUGUGGAGAUGGUUUGAGACGAGUGGAGGAUGGAGCUAUUUAAGGAACUGAUUGAGCUCUGGUCUGUGUGUACCGACAAGAUAGAUAUAGACAGGAAAAAAAUCUUUGAUCUUCGAUGCUAUUCGUGCAGCAGUGAUCUCGUCAUCCCUCAGGACGUGGCAACUUGAGACCCAGAGAAAGGAGAUAUGUUGUGGCUAGGCCUAGGAUCUUGAUGGAGAAUGGAGACGUGUGAUUGGACGAUGGAUCACAUGUUGAUUCUCACAUCAUCAGCUCACGGUCUGCAUGCAACGAGAUAGUAAACUUGUCUCUGAUGAAGUGGGUAGCCCAAGUGUGGUCAAGAAAGUGAUGGCAAUUUUAGGCCAUACGAUGAUUACUUCGUAGAUAUUUAUUGAAACCGUACUGAAGUUUGGUAUUUACCGAGACCGAACCUUAGUCAUAACUUCGUAUUUUGGUCCCUGGCACGUCCGACCGACAAUGUUCGACAAGCUUUGACGCCGUCAGUGACUUUGUGAGGUUACGUCUCCCUGGAUUUUGGGUGCCCGUCUUCUUUUCUCUGGGACGGCGAUUUGCGUUUCAGAUCAUCGUCGCCAGUGUCUUCUAGCUCCGAUCAACGACUUCCGGCUACCGCCUCAACAACGUUUUCCUGACUCGAUGGUGUUUGGUGGUCCAUAGGUGGUAUUGAGUUUCGCUCACUGCGCGUUGUUGACGAGUGCAGGAGGAAGGUGGUGUGGAUUUUCCCAAGAACCUAUGUGUAAUUUUAAAUUUCUACAAGAAUGACUUUGUAAGGGUCAAUUGAUUUCAAUACAUGACCGUCGCCUUUUGGAAAAAAAAUAAGAUCUUAUUUAUCGACUUAACCAAAUGCGCAGCCCUGCUGGCAAACACAGAGCCGGGCAUUUCUCCGUAAAAAAGAAAGAAUAAAAAGAGAGAGCCGGACAUUUUGUAGAACUUAAAUAAUCCCCGAAAAACCCUGGUUUCAAAGAUGACACUAGAGGGACAGCGCUUCGCCGCGCCCGGCGUUAGGUGCAUAAUUUGUAGUAGAUUUUAGGCGGGUCUCCAAUGUAGAGUUGUUGAGUUGCUAAGGCCCGCAUAUGUAGGCGUCAAAUCUUUCUUUUUCUGCUGAUGUCUCAAGCGCGUUCAGUCAAUCGUGGAGUGGAGACUGAUUCUUGGUUAAGUUAUCCAUGUCUUUCAGCCAUGAUAGCCCAACAAAGAGGCCUAAAUACACGAACAUCACAGAAAGAUGAACAACCACUGAAAAAUGAAGCACAAUCUGGCAGACAAACAACAAUAUUCAGAACAUAUGUGAAGGAGCAUCAGAGUUAGUUCAGUAAACAUCCAUAAGCAAACAUCUCCCCAAAUGUGAAGCAUACAUAUACAAAUCCAAAAGGACCAGUGAUCCCAUAGCAAGCACAUUGCAGCUGCAAAAUCAAUGAGAACUGCUAUACAGACGACAUUCACAGAUGAUUUCAGCAUGACACUCCAUCUCACACCAUCCAUUCAAGACGCCAAUGUACAGAAAGUUGUUGGAUUUGACAUCGGCUCAGGAUCGUGCAAGCAAAUGUCUGUGAAGUAGUUUCGAAAUCAAUCAACCAACAGUGGGCCCAUACUGCAGUAGGGCCACUCCACAGGGGCCAAAACACACCACGGGUCUACACAAACAGGAAGCAGCAUCAAACGGGCUCUCCGAACAGACAGCAUGAUCAUGAUGGUCGAUGGGCCAUAAGAAAAUGAGAGCAUAAGUUGCCAUCACCAAGAGCAACUUCUGAUUAAAUAACGGCCAAGUAUUUAUCGUUCUCAAUUUCUCAUGGAAAAACAAAUAGCCCAAAUUUUAUCGUUCUCAUUUCUCAUGGAGCAACGCACAGGCUACAUCCAGGACAUGAAACAAGCGGGCAGAUCAAACCAUUUCCCCAACGAUCCUUGUAAUUUACACCAUGAUGUUACAAUUUGAACCACAUAUUAUGUGUGCAGUUCACCGCAGUUUCCUUGAUGGGUACAACUCGCAGCUAGCGAGCGCCAACGCCUCACUUGCCGGGAACAAAGUUUGUGGCAAACGCCCAUGCGUUGUUGUUGACGGGGUCGGAGAGGUGGUCAGCAAGGUUCUCGAGUGGGCCCUUACCGGUGACAAUGGCCUGCACGAAGAAGCCAAACAUAGAGAACAUGGCGAGGCGGCCGUUCUUGACUUCCUUCACCUUGAGCUCUGCAAAUGCCUCGGGGUCAUCAGCCAGGCCCAACGGGUCGAAGCUGCCACCAGGGUAGAGUGGGUCGACUAUCUCACCAAGUGGGCCCCCGGCAACGCGGUACCCCUCAACGGCACCCAUGAGCACGACUUGGCAUGCCCAAAUAGCAAGGAUGCUCUGUGCAUGCACGAGGCUGGGGUUGCCCAGGUAGUCGAGGCCACCCUCGCUGAAGAUUUGGGAGCCGGCCUUGAACCACACGGCCUCACCGAACUUAACACCAUUGCGUGCAAGAAGCUCGGGGAAGACGCAUCCGAGCGCACCGAGCAUGGCCCACCGGCAGUGGAUCACCUCGAGCUCCCGGUUCUUGGCAAAGGUCUCGGGGUCGGCCGAGAGCCCCGCGGUGUCCCACCCGUAGUCGCCGGGGAACUCGCCGGUCAAGUAGCUCGGAGGGUCGCCGGAAAGCGGGCCGAGGUAGAGCACACGGUCGGCACCGUACCAUGGGCUGCCUGAUGAAACCUGCUUGGCCUUUGCAGCGGUCUUGCGCAUAGUGACACGGGCCUCACCAAAGAGAGCUGAUGAAGCCACGUUCUUCACCGACUUGCCGGCGAAGGUCGAGGAGAGGGACAUGGUGGUGGUCGCCAUUGCGCUGCUAAGGCGGAAUGUGUAUUGUGUGUUCCAAACAGUGAAAACUGAAGAGUGGGUGUGGAGAUGGUUUGAGACGAGUGGAGGAUGGAGCUAUUUAAGGAACUGGAGGGGUUGAGGCAUUGAGCUCUGGUCUGUUUGUACCGACAAGAUUGAUAUAGACAGGAAAAAAUCUUGACCUUCGAUGCUAUUGGUGCAGUAGAGAUCUCGUCAUCCCUCAGGACGUGGCAACGUGAGACCCAAAGAAAGGAGAUAUGUUGUGGCUAGGCCUAGGAUCUUGUUGGAGAUUGGAGAUGUAUGAUUGGAUGAUGGAUCACAUGUUGAUUCUCACAUCAUCACGGUCUGCAUGCAACGAGAAAAUAAACUUGUUUCUGAUGAAGUAGGUAGCGCAAGUGUGGUCAAGAAAGUGAUGGCAAUUUUAGGCCAUACGAUGAUUACUAGAGAUUAUUGAAACCUUCCUGAAGUUUGGUAUUUACCGAGACCAAACCUUAGUCAUAACUUCGUGGUUUGGUCCAUGGCACGUCCGACCAACAAUGUUCGACAAGCUUUGACGCCAUCAGUGACUUUGUGAGGUUAUGUCUCCUGGAUUUUGGAUGGCCGUCUUCUUUUCUCUGGGACGGCAAUUUGUGUUUUAGAUCAUCAUUGGCAGCAUCUUCUAGCUUCGAUCGACGACUUCCAGCUGCCGCAUCAACAACAUUUGUCUGACUCCGAUGGUGUUUUGCUGGUCCAUAGGCAGUAUCUAGUUCCGCUCACGGCGCGUCGUCGACGAGUGUAGGAGAAAGGUGGUGUGGAUUUUCCCAAAAACCUAUGUUUAAUUUUAAAUUUUUACAAGAAUGACUUUGUAAGGGUCAAUUGUUUUCAAUACAUGACCUUCGUCUUUUGGAAAAAAUAAGAUACGACUUAACCAAAUUAAAUGCGCAGCCCAAAGACAGAGCGGGGCAUUUCUCCGUAAAAAAAUAAAGAAUAAAAAGAGAGAGCCGGACAUUUUGUAACACUUAAAUGAUCCCCCGAAAAACCCUGGUUUCAAAGAUGAUACUAGAGGGGACGCCGCGCUUCGCCGCGCCCGGCGUUAGGUGCAUAAUUUGUAGGAGAUUUUAGGCGGGCCUGCCCAUGUAGAGUUGUUGAGUUGCUAAGAGCAUCUCCAGCCGUUGGCCCCCCAGGGGGCGCCUAAAAUUGCCGCCUGGGGGUGACCCAGCGAAAAAAAUGGGCCUGGGGGCGAGUUGGCCCCCAGCCGCCGCCCCCAGGGCCGGCCCCAGACGCGGGGAAAAAAAUUGUGUAGCAAAUUUACGCAAAGUUCGGCUAAAACACGCCAAAUUUCGGCAAACUUGGACUUAUAUUCGCGGAUUUAAGUCGAGUAGUCGCCAUUACAUAUAAAAACUAAUAAAAAAAACUUGCUGAAGGCCGAGAAGUCGCCGUCGUCGCCACCAUCGUCGGCCUUCUCCUCCUUGACUCAGGCGCCCCUGCUGGACCCCUCCCCGGCUGGUGGCGGCGGCGGCGCGUCGUCGUCGUCGUCGCUGUCGUCGAUGAUGACGACUCCUCCUUCGUCACGGCCUCGGCGGCGCUGCUCGAAGCGCCGCAGGGCGGCGCGCUGGUGCUCUGUCGCCAUCUUGAUGGAGUCCUGGCGUGCCCAUUCAAGGGCCGCGUCGUCGUCGAGCUCGACCUCGCCGUGCUCCGUCUUCACUGGCGCCAGCCCCGGCUCCGUCUUUGGCUUGACGAAGCGCGGAGGAGGAGCCGACGAGGAGGCGCGCCGGCCGCCCUCGUUGAUGACGAUGCCGGGCUCGGCCUUGACGCCGAGCAGCGUCGGAGUGCCGGAGGAGUGGGAAGAGGAGCGGGAGGACGAAGAGGAGGAGGACGCACCGAACCUCCUUGGCGCCCAUUGCCCGUCGCGUCGGUGGUGCGCCGGGGCGGCCGCCCUCGCCGGGGGGUACGCCAACGGCGGGUUGUUGCCGCCCUCGAGGUGCGUCAGCACGCCCUGAAGUGUGCGGCCGGGGGCGCCCCACCACAGGUGGCGCCCCUCGCUGUUCUUCACGCCGCCGACCACCGGCGCCCCAUUGGUGGACGCCAGCCGCUGCUGCUGGCGACGCUCGAAGUACGCCGCCCAAGCCGCGUGGUUGUCGGCGGCGUACUGGGGGAGGGAGAGCUCGGCGUCGGUGAGGGAGGCGCGCACGAUCUCGACCUCGUCGGCGAAGUAGGAUGGUUUGGCCACGGCGUCGGGCAACGGGGGAAUGGGCACUCCCCCAUUGCUGAGCCUCCAGCCCGUCGGCCCGGCGCGCAUGUCCGGCGGCGCCGGGAUGUUCGCCUGGAACAGGAGCCAGGACUCCUGUUCGCGGAGCGAACGGCGGCCGAAGCCGUUGGUCGCCGCCUCGUCUCCGGGGAAACGCUCGGCCAUCGGGGAGAUGGAGUGGCUGAGGAGAAGAGAUCAGCGGCGGCGCUCGGGAGAUGGAGUGGCUGGGGGAGAAGAAGAGAUCGGCGGCGGCGCUCGGGAGAGGGAGGGAUGGGGGAGAAGAGCUCGGCGGCGGCGCUCGGGAGAGGUGGAGAGGUGGCACUCAUCACAGGCGAGCGAGGCCAUAUAUAGCCGCGCCGCGUCCGUGUGUACGCGUCCGUGGGAGGGGAGGCGUCGGCACGCCGCCCCGUGAACGCGCCGCCCGUGAGGAAUCAAUGGCAAAGCUGACCGGCGGCAGCCUUGCCAUUGAUUCCCCGCGGGAAACCGAGGCGUCGGGAGAAGACGAGGCGGGCGGUGUCGCUGACACGGCCGGCCCGCAGCGCUUUCGCGCCAAAAACGAUUCGCCCGGCGCCCCCAGCGCGCCGGUUCGGGUUGGGUCCGCCGGCGCCAAUUUCAGCCCGAGCUGGCAAAAAAGGGCCCCUGGGGACGUGACUGGGCCGAUUUUUUGGCGCCGGUGGCCGAAAAAUCGCCUGGGGGGCCUUGUUGGGGGCGCGGCUGGAGAUGCUCUAAGGCCCGCGUAUGUAGGCGUCAAAUCUUUCUUUUUCUCCUGAUGUCUCACGCACGUUCAGUCAAUCGUGGAGUGGAGACUGAUUUGUGGUUAAGUUGUCCAUCUCUUUCAGCCAUGACAGCCCAACAAAGAGGCCUAAAUACACGAACAUCAAGAAAGAUGAACAACCACUGAAAAAUAAAGCACAAUCUGGCAGACAAACAACAAUAUUCAGAACAUAUGUGAAGGAGCAUCAGAGUUAGUUCAGUAAACAUCCAUAAGCAAACAUCUCCCCAAAUGUGAAGCAUACAUAUACAAAUCCAAAAGUAGGACCACUGAUCCCAUAGCAAGCACAUUGCAGCUGCAAAAUCAAUCAAACAACUCUCAAACUGAGCAUCCCAACCUAAACACCUGCAUACAUGCCUGCUCCUCAAAAUCCCGAACAAAAUACAAAGGAAAGCACAGGAGGCCAAAUGUCAGCAGAGACGUCGCCAACAGAUGAUGCAUUGAACCCACACAGAAGAAGAGCAACCAGCAACACGCGAAGGGCACGGCCACGGCCACCAAGGCGGCGGGCAGAGCCACAACGGCGGCAGCAGGUGACCCCAAAUCAAGGAGCACUCACCACAAAGCAAGCCUCUCACGAACACGGAAGUUCACGGCAGAAAACAAACCCCAAAUCAAGGAACACCGACCAACAAAAAAAAAUGGCCCAUACUACUUCCUCAAAAAAAAAAAAUGGCCCAUACUACAGUAGGGCCACUCCACAGGGGCCAAAACACACCACGGGGCCACACAAACAGGAAGCAUCAUCAAACGGGCUCUCCGAACAGAGACAACAUGAUCAUGAUGGUCGAUGGACCAUAAGAAAAUGAGAGCAUAAGUUGCCAUCACCAAGAGCGACUUCUGAUUAAAUAACGGCCAAGUAUUUAUCGUUCUCCAUUUCUAAUGGAAAAACAAAUAGCCCAAGUAUUCAUCGUUCUCAUUUCUCAUGGAGCAACACACAGGCUACAUCCAGGACAUGAAGCAAGCGGGCAGAUCAAACCAUUUCCCCAACGAUCCUUGUAAUUUACACCAUGAUGUUACAAUUUGAACCACACAUUAUGUGUGCAGUUCUCCGCAGUUGCCUUGAUGGCUACAACUCGCAGCUAGCGAGCGCCGACUCCUCACUUGCCGGGAACAAAGUUUGUGGCAAACGCCCAUGCGUUGUUGUUGACAGGGUCGAAGAGGUGGUCGGCGAGGUUCUCGAGUGGGCCCUUGCCGGUGACGAUGGCCUGCACGAAGAAGCCAAACAUAGAGAACAUGGCGAGGCGGCCGUUCUUGACUUCCUUCACCUUGAGCUCCGCAAAUGCCUCUGGAUCGUCGGCCAGGCCCAGUGGGUCGAAGCUGCCGCCGGGGUAGAGUGGGUCAACUACCUCACCGAGUGGGCCGCCGGCAAUGCGGUACCCCUCAACGGCGCCCAUGAGCACGACUUGGCAUGCCCAUAUAGCAAGGAUGCUUUGUGCGUGCACGAGGCUGGGGUUGCCUAGGUAGUCGAGGCCACCCUCGCUGAAGAUCUGGGAACCGGCCUUGAACCAUACAGCCUCGCCGAACUUGACGCCGUUGCGUGCAAGAAGCUCGGGGAAGACGCAUCCGAGCGCACCGAGCAUGGCCCACCGGCAGUGGAUCACCUCGAGCUCCCGGUUCUUGGCAAAGGUCUCGGGGUCGGCCGAGAGCCCGGCGGUGUCCCACCCGUAGUCGCCUGGGAAUUCGCCGGUCAAGUAGCUCGGGGGCUCUCCGGAAAGCGGGCCGAGGUAGAGCACACGGUCGGCACCGUACCACGGGCUGCCUGAUGAAACCGGCUUGGCCUUUGCAGCGGUCUUGCGCAUAGUGACACGGGCCUCACCAAAGAGAGCUGAUGAAGCCACGUUCUUCGCCGACUUGCCGGCGAAGGCCGAGGAGAGGUACAUGGUGGUAGUCGCCAUUGUGCAACUAAGGCGGGAGGUGUAUUGUGUGUUCCAAACAGUGAAAACUGAAGAGUGAGUGUGGAGAUGGUUUGAGACGAGUGGAGGAUGGAGCUAUUUAAGGAACUGGAGCUAAUAUAGGGGAUUGAGCUCUGGUCUGUGUGUACCGACAAGAUAGAUAUAGACGGGAAAAAAUCUUGAUCUUCGAUGCUAUUGGUGCAGCAGGGAUCUCGUCAUCCCUCAGGACGUGACAACUUGAGACCCAGAGAAAGGAGAUAUGUUGUGGCUAAGCCUAGGAUGUUGAUGGAGAAUGGAGACGUGUGAUUGGAUGAUGGAUCACAUGUUGAUUCUCACAUCAUCAGCUCACGGCCAAAUUUCGUGUUUUGACCCUUUUGUCAAACAAAAUCGGGAUCUGACCCCCGUUUGAAAGUUUUUCGUGAUUUGACCCUUUCCCCUACCGCCACGAGGCACGGCGGUAGGAUCCUAUAGCCUACCACCGAGACCUGCGGCGGUAGCAAACUUAUCCACGUCAACAACGAUAACGGCCUCCGUGCCCCCUCCAUCACACCCUACCGCCGCUCCGCCUGGCGGUAGGAUGUCUGAACCUACCGCCGGAGUCUCUGGCGGUAGGGUGUGGACAUAUAUAAACCGCGGGCCGGCCGCCCCCACCCCCUUNNNNNNNNNNNNNNNNNNNNNNNNNNNNNNNNNNNNNNNNNNNNNNNNNNNNNNNNNNNNNNNNNNNNNNNNNNNNNNNNNNNNNNNNNNNNNNNNNNNNNNNNNNNNNNNNNNNNNNNNNNNNNNNNNNNNNNNNNNNNNNNNNNNNNNNNNNNNNNNNNNCCACCACGAAGAACUGAGCAGUUGCUCGAACUCGCCCUCUCUCAUCCCCUCCACUCCCCCCUCCGAUCUUCUUCGUUUCUUGAUGGAUUUUGCGGAUCGAGAUGGCCCCGAAGAAAGAAAAGUAAGCUCUUUCAAUCCCUCUAAUAAGUUUUAAUCAAACACCUUUCGAUUCGUCGCAUUAUUCGAUUCAAAUCACUCCUUUUUGAACUAGAUUGAAUUUUUUUAACCCUAGGAUUGAUUUAGGUUGAUUCUAGAUGUUAUAUUGUGUUAGAUAUGAACUCUAUUGAAUAGUUGGUAUGGUUGUGUUAAGAUGAACCCUAGUUCAUAUUUGAUUUGAAUGGUUUCUUUUUUGAUAUGAUGGAUGUUGAAGGCAUUUGUUAUGAUAGAUGAUGCAUAUUCCUAUGCUAUGAUGCAAGUAUUGGAUGUAGUGUGUGAUGAAUAUUGGAGAUGAAUAUUGGAUAUAUUUGUUAUAUGUAGUGUAUGAAUCCUCAAGAUGAACCCCUAGUUCAUGUUUUUUGUUUUUUAACAAAAUAUGAGAUGAUGCAUGUUGGAUGUUGUUGGAGAAAUAUGUGUUAUGAUGCAUUUGAACCAUGGUGAUUGCAUCUUCAUAUAAGUAUUUUAUUUAGUUCUUGAUAUAUGUAUUGUAUUUAAUUCAUGUUCAUGAUAAUAUUGAUAUAUGAUUAUUCAAAGAUUGAACUCAUAGGUUCUGUUGGAUGUGAUUAAUUUUUGUUAUGCAUCGAUAUGUUUCGUAGUUAAUGUUGAACCCUAGUUCAUGUUGAAAAAUCUUUUGAUAUGCUUAUGCAAUUCUUUUAGGAGUCCACCUCUUGCGGACGACAUCGGCACGAAGUACACAAUUCUUGACCCUAGGUUCGACAAGCGUCACUGUGCCCGUUUCAUUGAGAAUGGAGUGGUAAUUACUAUUUUAAACCAAAUCUUUCGAAUUGAUGAAAACAAGUUGCUAACUAUUAUGUCCAUGCUAAUUAUGCUUUCGUUAUUGAUUUUCACAGAUGUUGCCACCACUGCGGAUGAGGGCUCACAAGACGACGGUUAAGAUGGAGUACGACGAGCGGUACGCAUCGUUCUUUAGGAGAGCCCGACUAUUGGGUUUCGUCCUGCAGUUCAAGCGUAAGCCGCCGACGCUCGUCCACUCAGCUCUCACGUCUUUGAUCGACCAGUGGCGGCCAGAGACGCACAGCUUUCAUCUUCCAUGUGGGGAGAUGACCGUGACCCUCGAGGAUUGGGCGAUGAUUACGGCACUACCGCUCGNNNNNNNNNNNNNNNNNNNNNNNNNNNNNNNNNNNNNNNNNNNNNNNNNNNNNNNNNNNNNNNNNNNNNNNNNNNNNNNNNNNNNNNNNNNNNNNNNNNNNNNNNNNNNNNNNNNNNNNNNNNNNNNNNNNNNNNNNNNNNNNNNNNNNNNNNNNNNNNNNNNNNNNNNNNNNNNNNNNNNNNNNNNNNNNNNNNNNNNNNNNNNNNNNNNNNNNNNNNNNNNNNNNNNNNNNNNNNNNNNNNNNNNNNNNNNNNNNNNNNNNNNNNNNNNNNNNNNNNNNNNNNNNNNNNNCGCUAAGAGCAACCGGACUUCCGGCAUACCGUUGCCAUGGCUCCUCGAGCACCGGAGCAAGUGCCCGGAAGAUGCCGAGCCCCGAGUGGUGGAGCAGUACGCCAGGGCCUACCUGUGGUACAUUCUCACGGAGGUAGUGUUUCCGGACUGCUCCGGGAACUCUGCCCUAUGGAUGUAUCUCGACUUCCUAAAGGACUGGGAUGCGGGGUACAGCUGGGGGGCCGCCGGACUCGCCUACCUAUACCGUUCGGUAAGUGAAUAUCACUUUCUUUCAAAUAUCAGACGUGUGCUGCUUUACAUUUUGACAUCUUAUCAUCUAUACUUGGUUUGUAGCUUGACGACGCGACCCAGAGAGCGGAAGUCACGUCCGGUAUGUGUGGAUGUGUAUGGGGCCUCUCCAUUUGGAUGUGGGAGCGAAUCCCGGUGGGCCAUUCGUAGAAGCUGCGCUCGCGUGCAUGGAUAGACUAUGGUGGAGAUGACGAAGAUGAUCGGAACCCGACCGUCGCAUACGCUUGGGACGUGGUGCGUGUCUACACUGGCGAAUCGAAGGCCUUGUACAAGGUCUUCAGCAACGAGCUUGAUGCUCUCACGCCUUUCCAGGUAUAAGAACUACAUUUUCACUUGAGCUUACCAUUGUUUCGAUAACACUUUCACUUGAGCUUACCAUUGUUUGGUUAUAGGUUACUUGGCGGCCGUAUAGUGAUGAUCGAGAGUGGCGGUUCGAGCUGAACAGCAUGUGCAAGCAGGACCGGCUUCUCUUCCGGUGCAUUGUGCCCAUGAUUUGUGUCUAUGCCGUGGAGUACCACUUGCCACAGUGCGUUGCCGCACAAUUUGGUAAGGCGCAACACACACCACCUGCCGGCCACGAUACCGGUGGCUAUGACCUACACCAGUGAGUACCACAAGCCGUCCUCAUCGAUUCUAAGUUCUUGUUUUGAUGCUUUACAUUCAUACAAGAAGGGUGUUUUACAUUCUUUCUUAUGCAUUGCAGGAUGAGCAGGCGGAAGAAUCAAUCAAUCACGGAUUGGGAAGCCGAACAUGCGAGAUACGUGAAGGAAUGGAACGAGUGGAAAGGACGCAAAGACACGGAGAGGAGAGUGAUUGACUGGGACGAGCACGAGGAUCACAUGCUGUGGUACGACGAUGGCAUCAAGCAUCGUCUGCGUCUGAGGCCCCAGUGGACGACAGCAGAUGCCGAAGACCUGUUCGAUGACGCCUCAGAGAAUGAAGCCUACAACGAGAGCAUCAGACAGCUUCAAGGCGGGUUUAGGGAGUACAGACCCCUCAUGAACAGAGUGGUAUGUUGUUUUUACCUCUUUUGAACCGACGGUUGGAUGAAAUCAGCUUUUAGUGCUAUUGACUCAUUUUAUUACUUUGCAGUCUUCGGAGCUGAACAAAAGAAUUUUUCAUGCCUCUGAUGCACUUAGUGCUAUCCCUGGGACUCGAGCUAGUGACAACAAGUUGAGGGAAACGGUGAAGGUAAUACGGAGUUCAUUUUUGUUAUCAUUGGACAUUCGAGAAUUUCAUAUUGUUUCGUUAUCAUUGCAGAAAUACGUCAACAAAGCAUGCCGGCUUGUGGGCCUGCUUGCGUGCGCUACAAACACCGAGGAUGUUUUUCCUCCUGCACCGAUGCAUAGCCUCGCUUCAUCAAGCCAUGCAGCCUCGUCGUCUAGGGCGGUUCAAGAUGACGAGGAGGAGAGCGACGACGAUGAUGAUGAAGAAGAGGGCGCAGAAGAAGAACAUGGUGAGGAAGAGGAAGAGGACGAUGAGGAGGAGGAGGAGUACGAUGAUGAUGACGGACCUCCAGCAACUCAGCCAACCCAGCGUGAGAAGAGGAAUGUGCCGAAGAAGGAUUGGAAGAGUCCAUCCCCGUUUCAGAAAGCACGUCCUACGGCCCGCAAGAAGACGGCGGCCGAGAAGCGAUCCAAUGAUAACGAGGACCGAAAGUCGAAGAGGGGAAGGAAGGACUGAAGUUGUUGUCGUGUCGUUGAACUAAAAACUUGCAUAUUUGCUUCGUGAACCAUAUGGAUUUGCUCGUGAAACUGUUUCGUUAAUUUGCUAUGUAUAACUUGGUGAAAACCUUUAUGGAUGUCUAUUUGCUAUGUAUCCAACCUACCUUAUUUAUAGAUUUGAGGUGUGUGCUUCAUAUAUCAUACAUUGUGUGCUUCAUAUGUCAUACAUAUGCUGUUUAAAUGUUGUCUUCCAAAAAUUGAAGACAAAAGAAGUUAGAAGGUGCAAAAAAUGCACACUGGGCCACCCUACCGCCGCACACUAAGGCGGUAGGUCUGUACAUCCUACCGCCAUGACACCCGGCGGUAGGGUGCCUCCCCCUACGCCCCCUCUUGUGACCAGAAAAACGACCAGCUCAGCGGUAGGGUUGCAGACCCUACCGCCGGGGUCCUCGGCGGUUGAAUCCUACCGCCAAGAGCCCUGGCGGUAGGGUGUGCAACCCUACCGCUAAGUUGUUUGUUUUUCUGGUCACAGAAACUUAGCACAUGCUCCCGCCCUACCACCGCGCCCUAUGGCGGUAGGUUGUGGUAUCCUACCGCCGGGCCCUAUGGCGGUAGGGUUUGGGCAUUUAUAAACCCAACCGCCCCGCCCACCCCACCCCAACCCCUUAUCCCCACCCACCCAGCCGCCUUCUUCUUCCUCUCGCCCAUUUUCUCAUCUCCUCCACUUCCCCCCUCCGAUCUUCUUCGUUGAUUCACGGAUUUUGCGGAUCGAGAUGGCUUCGGAAAGAGGAAGGUAAGCUCCUCCAAUCCCCCAAUUAGUUUGAGUCAAAUCAAUCCGCUUUCUUAUAGCCUAAAAAGGUUCAUGUUCAUGUUCAAAAUCAUGAGGGUCCCUAGUUGAUAUGAUGAACCCUAGUUAAUAUAAUGAACCUAUAUGAUUGCAAUGUGAUGAACCUAGUUGAUGAACCCUAGGUUUAGUUUUUUUUACCAUAUGAGGAACCCUCCCUAGUUGAUAUGAUGAACCCUAGAACCUAGAUGAUUGCAGUGUGAUGAAGCUAGUUGAUGAACCCUAGGUUUAGUUUUUUUUACCAUAUGAGGAACCCUCCCUAGUUGAUGAACCCUAGGUUUAGGUUUAGAUUUUUUUUAACAAAUGUUGAACCAUCAACUUCUCAAUUUUUUUGCCAACAAAAUUUAUGAUAUGAUGAAUAUUGGAGUAAGCAAAAUUUAUAUGAUGCAAGUAGUGGAGUAAAUAUGAUAUGAUAUGAUAUUGCAUUUGACCCAUCUUGAUAUAUGUAUUUUAUUUAGUUAAUGAUGAACUUUUGUUAUUCAUCCAUAUGUUUAGGUCUGCAACAGUGGCGCAACCAUCGCCCAUUCAUCUCCAACACGACCCGUCCGGCUUGCCACUUCCGUACGUGUACGAGUCCUUCUCCGAGCUUCUGCAGCCGGUGACCGCUUUUUCAGACGAGUUCCUACAGGCGACGAGGGCAGUUCGGUGGCACGAGAGGGCAGAACGGAUCGCCUACAAUGUGAAGUGUUGGUCGCUGAGGGUGAAGGAGUGGAAGAGAGUGACUGCAGAGAUGGAGGGAGAUCCAACUAUCUCCCGUGAACGCCGGGAAGCGACCAUUGAAGUUGCCAAGCAGCACUCCAACUGGGAGCUGCGCAAUUUGGGCCGGAGGAUUUACUUCGAGAGCAAUGCGGAGGAGAGAGCCAGGAUGCCGCCCCCAAGUGCAUCGGCGUUCGAUAUCAUCAGCUGGGGAAGGGCGGAGGUGAAAACUCCAGCUGGCAAGGCAAGGUGGGAGUGCUUGAAUGGUCGGAUGCCGACCAGCGUUCCGCCUCCGCCUGAACCGGUGGAUCCGCUGCCGUAUCUGUCUCCACGGCCAGGCCUAACAUACGAGGGGGGAGGUUUACCCAACCUAUAAACAUGUCUAUUGUAUAUGCAUCUAUGUUUUAGUAGGGGUUGUCAAACUAUGUGGACAAGUUUGCUAUUUGCUAUUUCGUACUUAUGAAUCUAUGUGUAAACUGUUUGAUAUUUGCUAUGUGGAACCUUUAUUAAUAUGUGAGCUCAUAUUUUGCUAUUUGUGAAACUAUGUGAAACUUGUGACAAAACAAACAAUCAAUAAAACUUGUAAAAACCUAAACCCACAGGAUCCUACCGCCAAGACCUGCGGCAGUAGGGUCACUCAGCCUACCACCAAGACCUGCGGCGGUAGGGUGUUGCGCUGGCCGUUAGCUAACGGCAGUGGGCCGUCCAUGCCACCGCCGGAAGCCCUGGCGGUAGCCUGCGUGAUCCUACCACCGUGUCCUUUGGCGGUAGCAAAAGGGUCAGAUGUCAAAAAAAAAUUAAACUAGGGUCAGAUCUUGAUUUUGUUUGACAAAAGGGUCAAAACACAAAAUUUUACCUCAGCUCACCGUCUGCAUGCAACGAGAUACUAGUAAACUUGUCUGUGAUAAAGUAGGUAGCCCAAGAGUGGUCAAUAAAGUGUUCGCAAUUUUAGGCCAUACGAUAAAUCUUGUAACAAAUUUUCACUUUAAAAUACCCCCUCUGAUCCAAAUAAGUUUUGUGGUUUUAGUUAAAUUAAAACCACGAAUUUUAUUUUGGAUUGGAGGGAGUAGUAUUCCAAUUAAAACCUUGUGAUAUAUUUAUGACAUUGAUUGAAAUAAUUGCAUUUUCUGUGGUUGUUCAUGCAUAUUUUUAAACAAUGAUAUCUCACUGAUAUAACUCAGAAAAAUGCUAAUGCAUCAGAGCACGAGGGGUGCAUUGUCGUUGUACCGAUUCACUCCAGCAUCCUUUGAACCAAGUCCUUGUCACAUAGCGUCAUUUAUUUAGGACAUUAAAACUAGGCCUCUUCCAAGCCCUCUCACGUUAUCAAUCUCCACCACCGUUGGACUGCAUGAUUUGGCCGUCCCUUCCCAUGGAUAGGAUGUUAGACCAUGUUCCACUUCAUUUUUUUGAACACCACCUUACUUUAAUUAACCAGUGUGAAACUUACAAUCGUUCGAUAUAAAAUUCACCACACAGGGUGACAUCAUUAACAAGAAUACCAUCGGAUCUAUUGUCAAAACUAAAUUUUGCUAUUAGAUGAGCCACCACAUUGGCAGAUCGACUAAUCUUAGCCAUUUGAAAGUUUUUUAUCAGCUUAGAUAAGCUUAGUGCUUCCUUCUUCAAAUCGACCAACGAUGACCUAUCAAGGUUCUCUGUUGCAAGAGUCGCCACAACAAACGUACAAUCAGUCUCUAAAAUAAUAGGAUUGUGGAGAGGUAUACCUAUGUAUAGACCAGCAAUGUCACUUCAUUGAUCGGUUGUUCUAAAGGAGUGAUUUUCCGGAAGGAACAUACUUAAAAAAACACUGAUUACAAAUGUACACGCACACAACGACACAACGCCUACUGAAAAGUGGGUUGGAGUUGUGGAGUUUCAAGAUUGAUGAAGUCACCACGGGCACUUCGCUAUCGACAGAAAUGUCACCUCCUACUAAAACAAUAAUUUACAUUAAUGAGACACCAAAGUGUCAACUGAGAUUUGAUUGCUGGUGGGCUAGAGAUACCACCACCCUCCUAACCAUAUAUCCACUGGUUGGUUCUCUAAAGAAAGUGUGUUGAAGCUAUUUAAAAAUCGAGGAUAUAAUUCAUUUCCACUACACAACAAUAGUUUGUUGCGAGGUCCGAAGUAGGCGGCGAUCAUCGCUUUACUAGUUCAAGAUAUAGUGAAGUGUAGAAACCAUACAUGCUAAUUAUAGUAGAUACUCCCUCCAUUCCAAAAUUAUUGUAGUGGUUUCAGUUUAAAAUUUGAACUAAAACGACGACAAUAAUUUUGGAACAAAGGGAGUAAUAUUCAUCUGUCUAACUGUUCCUAACUCGAGUUGCCGUAUAAGCACUCAAGGUUCACUUACAGUUUAUUAAACUCCAACUGUAACUAAACAGUAGUUUGCUAUGAUACAGUUCUUACCGUGUUUAUCGUACAUGUGAGCCCCCAUGCCGAUGGCGCCACAACCGUCGUCGAGUCUACUUCUCUGUUGGCCCUCCGACUCCUCGACAUGGCGUACAGCUCGUGCAGGUCCCUCGUCUACGCAUGCCCGGUGCUGGCAACACCGAUGCGUGCCUUCGUCCAUGACCUGUCCCCAGGCUUGGCAAGCCUGGUGUGGUCCUUCGUAAACUUCGUCUUCGUCCGUCUACGCAUGCCCGAUGCUGGCACCACCGAUGCGUGCCUUCGUCCACGAUGUGUCCCAUGGCUUGGCAAACCCACCGCAACACAUCGUCAACAACGUCUUCUUCCCGGCGCACCACUACUUCAACAACACUGCGCCCAUGACUAACUCGGCGCCUUCUUGCGCCCGCGGCUCCACGGUGACUUCCUCGACACCGGCUACCCCGACUCGACAUCGACCACGGCAACCUAGCUCGACCACGGCUGCACCACCUACGCUCUCGGCUACUUCGACAAACAGCACAAAGGGCUACCGCCUUGCUUGAGCAACCUCGUUCGUUUCCACUCCAGCCANNNNNNNNNNNNNNNNNNNNNNNNNNNNNNNNNNNNNNNNNNNNNNNNNNNNNNNNNNNNNNNNNNNNNNNNNNNNNNNNNNNNNNNNNNNNNNNNNNNNNNNNNNNNNNNNNNNNNNNNNNNNNNNNNNNNNNNNNNNNNNNNNNNNNNNNNNNNNNNNNNNNNNNNNNNNNNNNNNNNNNNNNNNNNNNNNNNNNNNNNNNNNNNNNNNNNNNNNNNNNNNNNNNNNNNNNNNNNNNNNNNNNNNNNNNNNNNNNNNNNNNNNNNNNNNNNNNNNNNNNNNNNNNNNNNNNNNNNNNNNNNNNNNNNNNNNNNNNNNNNNNNNNNNNNNNNNNNNNNNNNNNNNNNUUGAGUAUAUUGAUUAUUAGGAAAGACGAGAUAGACUAGGAUUUGUUCUGGCUUGUCUUGUACUCCAAGUAGAUCAUUGUACUCUUAUAUAUAUGCCCACAAGGCUCAAGCAAUACAUCAACUCACCAAAUCCCUCUCUCCCUUCCAACAGCAAGCACAUUGCAGCUGCAAAAUAAAUCAAACAAACUCUCAAACUGAGCAUCCCAACCUAAAUACAUGCAUACAUGCCUGCUCCUCAAAUCCCGAACAAGGAGGCCAAAUGUCAGCAGAGACGUCACCAACAGAUGCAUUGAACACACACAGAAGAAGAGGAAGCAACCAGCAGAAAUGAAACUGGAACUGAAGAAUAUGCAAUUCAAGAUCAAGGAAAAUAAUUUGGAAGAUUUCAAAAAGUACCUUGUAGAUAACUUCAUGUAAAGUGAUGCUUUCCUUCCCGAAAGCCGGCAUAGACUAAUUUUCUUACUUUGGAGCUUAGUCUCCCCCCACCCAUUGUAACUUAUUUUUAUAUAUUUAUAAAAUUUAUCGUAGAAGGAUUGUUCUAUGGUGUGCGGGUCAAAUAAACCCAGCAACACGCGAAGGGCACGGCCACGACCACCAAGGCGGCGGGCAGAGCCACAACGGCGACAGCAGGUGACCCCAAAUCAAGGAGCACUCACCACAAAGCAAGCCUCUCACCAACACGGAAGUGCACAACAGAAAACAAACCAAAAAUCAAGGAACACCGACCAACAGUGGGCCUAUACUGCAGUAGGGCCACUCCACAGGGGCCCAAACACACCAUGGGUGCGCACAAACAGGAAGCAGCAUCAAACGGGCUCUCCGAACAGACAUCAUGAUCAUGAUGGUCAAUGGGCCAUAAGAAAAUGAGAGCAUAAGUUGCCAUCAUCAAGAGCGACUUCUGAUUAAAUAACGGCCAAGUCUUUAUCGUUCUCAAUUUCUCAUGGAAAAACAAAUGGGACACGACUAGCCAGCACACGUUGGCUGGCUAGCGCUCCAGCGCACACACUCUGUUUAUGGUAGUGGUCCCUCCCCUUGUCCAGCUGUCAACCAAGAAAGGAAAGAAACGGUCCCAACAGUUCCUCCGAGCACAUGUCCCCACGCUAACAAACCUUCACAAAUCUCUCCUCCCUUCUCACCUAUUCUCCAAUCUAGCCCUCAUCUGCAGCCUGCUUAACUCCAUAUCUAACGUCUCUACCAAGGUUUGUUUGCUCAAACCCCUCUCUUGUACAUCCUCCACCGCACCACCUAUUUUUUCUUGGCAGAAAAAAAAUCCAGCUUUGGGUUUUGAUAUUCACAAAACCCUGCGAAAAAACAUAUAAGGCCAUGAUUUGCUGGUUUUAUGCAUUCAACUCCCACCUCGUUCUUAUGUUGUUUUUCUUGUUAGUUUGUCUAGUACUUAAAAAAGCAAGCAACUACUGAUGUUCAGGCAACAUCAUUGCAACCAAAAGUCCUCUGCACAAAAAUUUGCAUCCUAACUCUUUUCCUACCUAGACAAAAACAUGUCUUCCCCUCGAACUUGUAAGAUACAAACUGGUGGUGGUGUGUGGAUAUGCAAAUAUAAACUUCCUAGGUGUAUUAUGCAUGCAAUUUCCUCCUAAAAAAAUUUAGGGUCUAUUUUGUCUAAACCAAAACAUACAUACAAGCAACUUCUUGUGUUCUUUUAGGCAACUUAAGUGCAAUCACCAAGCAAAGUCCUGUGUCCAAAAAAGCAUCCUGACUUUCUUGCUACAUAGGCCAAAAAUGUGUUCCUUAAAAACAUGUGACAUACACCUCCCUGGGUGGAUGUGUGUGCACCAAUAAACUUGCUUGAGGGGUGUCAUGAAAAUACAACAAACUAUUCUAUUUUUGGACAAUUCCAUUGCAAUCAACAAAACAAUAUCCUAUUUAGAAAAUGCAAAAAAAAGUAGUGGGAACAAUCAUCAAGACAAGUGCAAUCUGACUCCCUAUGUAGACCCGCACUUGUUUAACCAGGUAACAUGCAAAAUGCUAAGAUGUAGGAAACAUGGUGGUGUAUUGAAACAACAUGGUGGUGGCUGGGGAGCAAAAGUUUACCAGGUAGUGGCUUGAAGAGCCUAUUUGCUUGUAAAGCUUCUUGUAAGUUUCAGGAAAAAUGACAUACAAAGCUUACACACAAAGUCCAUGCUGAGAUUUAGGCAAAAUGCAUAUAAGUCCUCGGCAAAAAAUAAGAACCUGUUACCAGGAAAGGCAAGAUUAAACAAAUUUUAUAUAUUUUGUUGGUUGGUGAAGCAUCUUACUGUGCAAAAAAAAACCUCCGGCUUUCGACUUGGCAUCUUUUUAGUUUUAACUUUAUAUAUUUUCGUGAGUUGUACCAUGCAUGUUCAUAUGAAAAAUGUUGUGUGUGACUUGCUUGUACUAAUGGUGUGAGUUGCCUAAAUAAUGUGUGUGGUGUUGCCUUGUCCAUUAUGAAUAUCUAGCCUAUGUCUGGGGUACCUAACUUGCCUAUUCAGUUAUUGUUGGUUGUCUGCCUUUUGUCCGUGUGACUUCCGUGACAACAUGUUUAUGCAUGAUUUGUCUAAGCUAAGUGUGUGAGUUGCCUGGAUAAACGGUGUAUGGUUGCCCAAAAAUUGUCAUGUGUGAAAAAUAGGAAAAAGUGGGGGGCGAGGGGGGUGUCGAAUGCUUACUCGUAGCUUCCCGAACUCCACUGCACCCUUCUUGUCCUUCUUCAUGACCUUGAGUAUGAGGUCAUCGUCCCAAACGGAGGAUCUUGGAACCGUGCCUAGAAUCAAUUCAUCCACAUCGAGUGAAUCGAGGAAAAGAACACACUCAAAAAAUGUGAUCUGGCAAAAUCAUGCCGCACAAAAAAAUCCAUGAACAAAAGGAACACAUGCAGGGGGAAGCAUGCAUCUCUCUCCCAAUAAAAUCCAUGAACCUCCCCUGCGCACAUGGUGCAUGAUCUUUUUCUGCCCCCGAUCGUAACUCCUCGAACCAGCGUGAGACCCCAUCUACCACUGGCGGACUGGCCCACCACCCCGCACCUCCCCUCCCGAUGCCUCUAGCACUGGAAUGUGAGUUUUCUCCCCUCCCUCAUGUAUGGCCUCUCCAUUUCCACCUCUUUUUCUGGACAGAGAAAAAACGAGUCAUUAGGGGAGGCAACUUACACAUAAAAUCCAUGAAUAGAAGAAACACAUGCAGGGGGAAGCAUGCAUGCAAGCUUCAUGUUUCGUUAGUACAAAAGCAACCCCCAUCCUAUGUAAAAAGGCACUUCAACUAGCAACUAGGGGUGUUAUUUUAGGAAAGUUUGAUGUGAGACACAGGCAACUCAUCGUUUUGUGGGAAAUUAUAGAAGUAAAAAAAGAAACCUUUGAAGAACAGUUUUUUUGCUGAUUUUCCCUUGGGGUUUUUGGGCUGGUUUGUGUUUCUAUUUUGCAGAUUUGUAGGUUGUGGGGUUGCAUGAGUAGCUGGUUUGGUUGUUGUAGGUAUGCUUGGUUGUUUAGGCAAGUUGUGUUGACAUGUAGGCAUGUACAGUAUUCUUUGCAUGUAACUGAUGAUUUUGUGGUAAAAGCAAAACCUUAAAUUAUCAAAAGAAUAGAAGUCCUUGGAGAUAAGUUUUUUGGGCCGUUGGGGUUUGGGGCUAUGUUAUGCUGGUUUUGUAGGUUGCAUGAACUGCUGGGUUGGUGGAGUAUGUAAAACUUCUCCCUCUGUAAACUAAUAUAAGAGUGUUUAGAUUACUAAAGUAGUGAUCUAAACACUCUUAUAUUAGUUUACGGAGGGAGUACAAAAAAAAGUCAAGCAACUACUAAUGUUAUUUGAGGCAGCAUUAUGCAGUCAACAAAAAAAAUCAACUACUUCCUCCGGCCCAAAAUUCUUGUCUUAUAUUUUUCUAAAUAUGUUGUAUCUAAUCACAUUUUACUGUUAGAUGCAUCGUAUCUAAAUAAGUCUAAGGCAAGAACUUUGGGACGGAGGUAAUACUACGGAAUAUUUUGGGCUAAAGUAACUUGCCAAAUUCUUUGGAAAAAAAGCAUUGACAAAAACAAGUUAGUCGCAACAAUUUGGGUUGUGCGAAGCAUAUACCUGGAAAAGUGAGUGGCAAACCUUAUUUCUUUGGCAUGUUUUUUGUUCUUCGUCUGUGUAGUUUUCACGAAUCCAUGGUUUAGGAGAAAAAGUAGGUAAUAUGGUAAAGAAAUCAAAAAAGCAAGUUGUGUUUAGGGAAUGUAAGUAGGAUAUAUAGUAGAUUGAGGCAAGUUUGUAGUUUACCGAGUAUAUGUUGAAAAACUUAAUAAAAAUACCUAAACAAACUUCAAGUAAAGGUUAGGGAGUGGGAAGGGGGGUUGUGCGUGAGGUAAAUAACACAUUUAGAAAUAGGCAAGUAACAGAAAAUGCCUAAAACACAUGCAAAUUAAUCACAUGCUUAACACUAGCAAGACACAUUCAAAUGUCAAGCAAGUCCUACUCAACACUAGGUACAAUGCAUUAUGUAAUGCACUCUCACUUGCUAGGGCAAGACGCCGGACUCACCGUGCGCCACCCGAUCCAAGCGCGCGCCCUCCACCUCCUCUAGACACCACCUCACCGCUCGCCGCACUGGGGUUCCUCGUGAGAUCCCACUAAGAAGCUACUACUCGAGGCGCGCGCUGCUUGACCCGGCCGGGUCCUGCCUCUCAGUCGCCGCCCUCGUGGGGGCCAUCGCAGCACGGGCAUGGUGAGAUGCUGGAGCUGCUCAGCCGGUGGGGUAGAGCAGCAUUGUGAGGUGUUCAUGUGCAGCUGGAUGAUAACCCACAAGUAUAGGGGAUCACAAUAGUUUUCGAGGGUAGAGUAUUCAACCCAAAUUUAUAGAUUCGACACAAGGGGAGCCAAAGAAUAUUUGAAGGUAUUAGCAGCUGAGUUAUCAAUUCAACCACACCUGGAGAUUAAUUAUCUGCAGCAACGUGAUCAGUAGCAAAGUAAUAUGAUAGUUUUGAUAACAGUGAGAGCAGUAACAGUAACGGUAACAGUGAUAGAAGUAGUUUUGUAACGAGUACAAUAGUGAUGAUAGCAGUAGUAACUUAGCGAGAACAAUAUAAGAUAAAUUUGUAGGCAUUGGAUCGGUGACUUGUUGGAUGAUAUUCAUCAUGAGACAGUUAUAACCUAGGGCGAUACGGUACUAGCUCCAGUUCAUCAAUAUAACGUAGGCAUGUAUUCCGUAAAUAGUCAUACAUGCUUAUGGAAAGAACUUGCAUGACAUCUUUUGUCCUACCCUCCCGUGGUAGCGGGGUCCAAUUGGAAACGAAGGGAUAUUAAGGCCUCCUUUUAAUAGAGAACCGGAACAAAGCAUUAACACACGGUGAAUACAUGAACUCCUCAAACUACGGUCAUCACCGGGAGUGGUCCCGACUAUUGUCACUCCGAGGUUGCCGGAUCAUAACAUGUAGUAGGUGACUAUAACUUGCAAGAUCAGAUCUAGAACAUGGAUAUAAUGGUGAUAACAUAAACGGUUCAGAUCUGAAAUCAUGGCACCCGGGCCCAAAGCAUUAAGCAUGGCAAAGUCAUAGCAACAUCAAUCUUAGAACAUAGUGGAUACUAGGGAUCUGGCCCUAACAAAACUAACUCGAUUACAUGAUGAAUAUCAUCCAACUCCUCACCGACCAGCGAGCCUACGAAGGAAUUACUCACUCCCGUCGGGGAGCAUCAUGGAAUUGGCGAUGGAGAAGGGUUGGUGAUGACGAAGAACGAAGACCCCCCUCUCCGGAGCCCCAAACGGACUCCAGAUCAGGCCUCCCGAUGAAGAACAGGAGGUGAUGGCAGCUCUGUCUCGUGGAUCGCGAUAAUUCUUUCUCCAGGAGGGGGCGCCCUGGUGGGUUGUGCCCACCCAGGUGCCCCCUCUGGUGGAUCUUGGCUCCAGAUAUUCUUUUUAUUGAUAUAAAAAUUCAUCGCAAAGUUUCGUUUCAUUCCGAGAACUUUUAUUUUUGCACAAAAACAACACCAUGGUAGUUCUGUUGAAAACAGCGUCAGUCCGGGGUUAGUUUCAUUCAAAUCAUGCAAAUUAGACUCCAAAACAAGAGGAAAGGCGUUAGGAAAAGUAGAUGCGUUAGAGACGUAUCAACUCCCCAAGCUUAAACCUUUGCUUGUCCUCAAGCAAUUCAGUUAAUAAACUGAAAAUUGAAAAAGAAAAACUUUUACGAACUCUUUUGCUCUUGUGUGCAUAAAUAAGCUUAAACAACACCCAUGUUUUCAGCCAACAUUAUAACUAACCAUGCCGACAAUAACUCUUUAAAAUUAUAUUAACUCAUAUCAAUAACAUAAUCAGCUAGCGAGCAAUAAUAAGAUACCUCAAAUGGCAACACGUUGUCAAAACAACCAUGAUAUAAUAUGACAAUAGUGGUAUCUGAUGUCGCUUGAAGCUACGUCGGUAUUUCUCCAAAGAGGAAGGGAUGAUGCAGCACAACGGCGGUAGGUAUUUCCCUCAGAUAUGAAACCAAGGUUAUUGAACCAGUAGGAGAACCAAGCAACACAACGUAAACAGCCCCUGCACACAGAUAACAAAUCCUCGCAACCCGACGUGUUAAAGGGGUUGUCAAUCCCUUUCGGGGUACGGCGCCACAAGUAGGCAAACGGACGUGAGAUAAAUUUGUAGUAAAUUGAUAGAUCGAACGCCAAAUAAAAUAAAUAAGAAAAAAUUGCAGCAAGGUAUUUUUGUAUUUUUGGUUUAAUAGAUCUGAAAAUAAAUGCAAGGAAAAAGUAGAUCGCAAAGGCAAAUAUAUGAGAAAGAGACCCGGGGGCCGUAGGUUUCACUAGUGGCUUCUCUCGAGAAAAAUAGAAAACGAUGGGUGAACAAAUUACUGUUGGGCAAUUGACAAAACUUCAAAUACUCAUGACGAUUGUCGGUGUCAAAACCGGCAGAUCUCGGGUAGGGGGUCCCAAGCUGCGUGUCAUGGAUCGAUGGGUAACAGGAGACAGGGGACACGAUGUUUACCCAGGUUCGGGCCCUCUUUAUCGAGGUAAUACCCUACUUCCUGCUUGAUUGAUCUUGAUGAAUAUAGGGUUACAAGAGUUGAUCUACCUCGAGAUCAUUUGUUGUGGUCUAAGACCUAAGGGUAUGAUGAGUAAUGUCAUAAUGAUCUAUCGACUAGCCUGGCCUUGGCUUAUAUAAUGCACCAGAGGCCUAGGAUAACAAGAGUCCUAGCCGAAUACGUUGGUGGAGAGGAGUCCUUGUCUUGAUCACCAAGUCUUGUGGAAUACUCCUUGUAUGCGGCAUGGGCUGCCUGAAGUGGCCCAUGAGUGAACCGCCAUGGGGGUCCUCGGCCCGAUCCACCUGGUCGGGAAACGAUGUGGUGAGUACCCCCUAGUCCAGGACCCCAUUAGUAGCCCCCUGAACCAGUCUUCAAGUUGGGGACGCUCCUCGAUCCUUCCGAACUGAUCUUCAUCUUCGGUCGUCGGUCUUGAAAACUGGUUCAACAAAUCUUCUCAUCUUCGAUCUUGAGGAUCGCCGAAGUGAAUCCGAAGGGUUUACACGUCGGGUAUUCGAGGAGCCCCUUUAAGUUCUCGGCCUUUAUCAAUGCCUUGGGAUUAUUUUUUACGCCACACCUCGGGUUUGAAGUUGUUCCCGUGCGGCGGUGUCCUCUUGCAUCCGAGCUCCAACGCCGGACUGCAUUUGAGAUAUCUUUUGCAGCCGAGCACCAACGCCGAACUAUAUCCGAGCUCCAACGCCGGACUAUAUCCGAGGUGUCAUAGAUCACCUUGGCUUGAAAAAGUUUGAAGGAGGUUAUCCGAGAUAAACGCUGAAAAGUUUCGUAUGGAAUGAGCCAUUCGAAUCCGGGCUUUAUGCCGGACCACUUCUGAGCUCCAACGAUGGUCAGCGUCCGAGGUGUCUUAAACUACCUCGGUCUUUUAGAAGAUUGAACGAAUUCAGCCGAGCUUAAUGCCGGAAAUGCCCUCCAUGGAGCCAGCCACUAGCGCCCGAGCUUUAUGCCGGACUGCUUCCGAGGUGGUGGACCACCCUGACCGCGGGCUGGUUUUUGUGAAUAUUUUUUAUUGGUGCAAUUUAUUCUCUGCCGAGAUAUAUAGCCAGUAUAUGUAUAUCUAGUAUCCCUCAAGGUGUGUGUCGGUCUAAAACCCGAGAUGCACCUGAAGGAAAACAUAAAACCGCUGAUCCUAGUAGCCCCUGAGACUCAGGUCGACUUGCAAAACCGUUCUGAGGAUCAACUCCUAGCUCGGCAGCAUACGUAGGAAUAGAAACGCAGUGUAAUAUAUUAGAAAUAAUGAUCGGCGGACAGGCCCCUGAGAGAGGGUUGUGAGAAGUCGCCGUGAUAUAUUAGCUUGAUGCUGGAUAAGUCCCAGAUGGUACUUAGUGUUGUCCGAAGACGCGCUUGCCCAUAGUUCGGUCAUGCCGAACACGGAGCACUUUGAAUUCUCUGCAUUGAAUAAGCAAUGCAGUAGCCCCCGAGACACUGGUUGGGUGGCAACACCAGAUCAGGGGAUCGAUGUACCCCUCUAAUAUUUAUUAAUAAUGAGCGCGAAGCCCAGUAGCCCCCGAGCCUUAAUGUGGGCACGGGUGGCCGAAUUAAGGAUCGAUAUCCGUUUGGCAGAAAAUUUGUUGUGUUUAACACAAACUUCUCGGAAAGAGAAUAAAGAUCUAUUAAAGGAGCUUAGAGCUGGUCGAAAUCCGAGCUCGCCAAGGUAGGCCCCAAGGGGUUUUAAAAGAUGGAUUGCUGUAAAUGGAUUUUACUCGCAAUUUUUAUGUGUAAUGAUUCUAUGUAUCCUAGUUCUUUACAUCAUUAAUGCUCGGAUCCGCAUUGCACAAAACUUUGUUGACCGACCAUCGGCUUCCACGUCCUCGGCCAGUAGCCGAGGAGUGUUUGUCCUACUUUAUAAAGCCUUUAUGAGGGCAAAGAUUUAUGACAAACAAGGAAAUUCGGCCAUACGGUUUUAUAAACAAAGGUACGCAGAGAGAUAUGUUAUAUUACUGUUUAACAUAAGAAAUGUCUUCCAAAGAAAAUAGUCCCGCUAUCGGUUCCUUUCUUUGGGUUGUCAUUCUAAGCAUGAUCAUGAAACCCCAGCUCCGAUCAAUGUGGGAGCAAAAUAUUGAGGAUUUAGUUUGGGGAAAGUUCUCGAACUAUGUGGUCUUUAGCGAACCUAAAUUUUCACUUCCGUCAUUGCCGACCAAUUAUAUCCUUUAAGAUGGCUAGCUUUCGGCUUCACCCAGUUUGAGGUACUAACCCGGAUGACUCAGUAGUAAAAAUCACAGAGGUGCUCCCUUUACCGCCUAGCCGAACAAUCGAGAACGUAGGGGUAAGCACAGGAGCCAGGCAACCCAGCUUGGCCAAAAUCUUAAGUCAAAUUGAUGCAUAUGUAUGGCUUUAUAACGAUGAUUACGGAAAGCAACCCUUGUAUAUUAAAUAAAAAUGCCGAUGAUAUGUUUAUUUUGACUCCAUUGUGACCGUUUAUCAGUUGAAAGUGGCCCAUCGUCGGCUUCUACCCCUAUGUAGAUCCUACGAAGGGUGUUUCCGCAAUAACAAGACAACCCUUAGCCGACGUCUCGGUGCCCGAAGGCGGUUGUGUUAGCGGAAACGAGGCAAUCAGAUAUGCGGGUGCUACCUCUUGAGCACUGCGUUGGUUUUCCCUUGAAGAGGAAAGGGUGAUGCAGCAAAGUAGCGUAAGUAUUUCACUCAAGUUUUGAGAACCAAGGUAUCAAUCCAGUAGGAGGCCACGCACGAGUCCCUCGCACCUACACAAACAAAUAAAUCCUCGCAACCAACGCGAUAAGGGGUUAUCAAUCCCUACACGGUCACUUACAGGAGUGAGAUCUGAUAGAUAUGAUAAGAUAAUAUUUUUGGUAUUUUUAUGAUAAAGAUGCAAAGUAAAGAAAGUAAAAUAAAAGCGGCGCCAGAAAUAGCUUGUUGUCGGGAGAUUAAUAUUAUGGAAAAUAGACCUGAGGGCCAUAGGUUUCACUAGUGGCUUCUCUCAAGAGCAUAAGUAUUUACGGUGGGUGAACGAAUUACUGUUGAGCAAUUGACAUAAUUGAGCAUAGUUAUGAGAAUAUCUAGGUAUGAUCAUGUAUAUAGGCAUCACGUCCGAGACAAGUAGACCGACUCCUGCCUGCAUCUACUACUAUUACUCCACACGUCGACCGCUAUCCAGCAUGCAUCUAGAGUAUUAAGUUCAUAAGAACAGAGUAAUGCUUUAAGCAAGAUGACAUGAUGUAGAGGGAUAAACUCAUGCAAUAUGAGAUAAACCCCAUCUUGUUAUCCUCGAUGGCAACAAUACAAUACGUGCCUUGCUGCCCCUACUGUCACUGGGAAAGGACACCGCAAGAUUGAACCCAAAGCUAAGCACUUCUCCCAUUGCAAGAAAGAUCAAUCUAGUAGGCCAAACCAAACUGAUAAUUCAAAGAGACUUGCAAAGAUAACCAAUCAUACAUAAAAGAAUUCAGAGAAGAUUCAAAUAUUGUUCAUAGAUAAACUUGAUCAUAAACCCACAAUUCAUUGGUCUCAACAAACACACCGCAAAAGAAGAUUACAUCGAAGAUCUCCAUGAGAGAGGGGGAGAACAUUGUAUUGAGAUCCAAAAAGAGAGAAGAAGCCAUCUAGCUAAUAACUAUGGACCCGAAGGUCUGAGGUAAACUACUCACACAUCAUCGGAGAGGCUAUGGUGUUGAUGUACAAGCCCUCCAUGAUCGAUGCCUCCUCCGGCGGAGCUCCGGAACAGGCCCCAAGAUGGGAUCUCACGGGUACAGAAGGUUGCGGCGGUGGAAUUAGGUUUUUGGCUCCGUAUCUGGUAGUUUGGGGGUACGUAGGUAUAUAUAGGAGGAAGGAGUACGUCGGUGGAGAAACAGGGGGCCCACGAGGGUGGAGGGAGCGCCCAGGGGGUAGGCGCGCCCCUACCUCGUGCCUUCCUGGUUGAUGUCUUGACGUAGGGUCCAAGUCCUCUGGAUCACGUUCGUUCCGAAAAUCACGUUCCCGAAGGUUUCAUUCCGUUUGGACUCCGUUUGAUAUUCUUUUUCUGCGAAACUCUGAAAUAGGCAAAAAACAGCAAUUCUGGGCUGGGCCUCCGGUUAAUAGGUUAGUCCCAAAAAUAAUAUAAAAGUGUAUAAUAAAGCCCAAUAAUGUCCAAAACAGAAUAUAAUAUAGCAUGGAGCAAUCAAAAAUUAUAGAUACGUUGGAGACGUAUCAAGCAUCCCCAAGCUUAAUUCCUGCUCGUCCUCGAGUAGGUAAAUGAUAAAAACAGAAUUUUUGAUGCGGAAUGCUACUUGGCAUAACUUCAAUGUAAUUCUUCUUAAUUGUGGUAUGAAUAUUCAGAUCCGAAAGAUUCAAGAUAAAAGUUCAAUAUUGACAUAAAAAUAAUAAUACUUCAAGCAUACUAACUAAGCAAUUAUGUCCUCUCAAAAUAACAUGGCCAAAGAAAGUUCAUCCCUACAAAAUCAUAUUGUUUAGUCAUGCGCCAUUUUCGUCACACAAGAAUGCUCUCAUCAUGCACAACCCCGAUGACAAGCCAAGCAAUUGUUUCAUACUUUAGUAAUCUCAAACCUUUUCAACUUUCACGCAAUACAUGAGCGUGAGCCAUGGAUAUAGCACUAUGGGUGGAAUAUAAUAUAAUGAUGGGGGUUAUGUGGAGAAGGCAAAAAGGAGAAAGUCUCACAUCAACAAGGCUAAUCAAUGAGCUAUGGAGAUGCCCAUCGAUUGAUGUUAAUGCAAGGAGUAGGGAUUGCCAUGCAACGGAUGCGCUAGAGCUAUAAAUAUAUGAAAGCUCAACAAAAGAAACUAAGUGGGUGUGCAUCCAACUUGCUUGCUCACGAAGACCUAGGGCACUUGAGGAGGCCCAUUGUUGGAAUAUACAAGCCAAGUUCUAUAAUGAAAAAUUCCCACUAGUAUAUGAAAAUGACAAAACAAGAGACUCUCUAUCAUGAAGAUCAUGGUGCUACUUUGAAGCACAAGUUCGGAAAAAGGAUAGUAGCAUUGUCCCUUCUCUCUUUUUCUCUCAUUUUUUUGGGCCUUCUUUUUUUAUGGCCUUUCUCUAUUUUUUUAUUCCUUGCUUGGGACAAUGCUCUAGAAAAUGAUGAUCAUCACACUUCUAUUUAUUUACAACUCAAUGAUUACAACUCGAUACUAGAACAAAGUAUGACUCUAUAUGAAUGCCUCUGGUGGUGUACCGGGAUAUGCAAUGAACCAAGAGUAACAUGUGUGAAAUAAUUAUGAACGGUGGCUUUGCCACAAAUACUAUGUCAACUACAUGAUCAUGCAUAGCAACAUGACAAUGAUGAACAUGUCAUGAUAAACGGAACGGUGGAAAGUUGCAUGGCAAUAUAUCUCGGAAUGGCUAUGGAAAUGCCAUAAUAGGUAGGUAUGGUGGCUGUUUUGAGGAAUAUAUAAGGAGGUUUAUGUGUGAAAGAGUGUAUCAUAUCACGGGGUUUGGAUGCACCGGAGAAGUUUGCACCAACUCUCAAUGUGAGAAAGGGCAAUGCACGGUACCGAAGAGGCUAGCAAUGAUGGAAAGGUGAGAGUGCAUAUAAUCCAUGGACUCAACAUUAGUCAUAAAGAACUCACAUACUUAUUGCAAAAAUCUACAAGUCAUCAAAAACCAAGCAUUACGCGCAUGCUCCUGGGGGGUAGAUUGGUAGGAAAAGACCAUCGCUCGUCCCCGACCGCCACUCAUAAGGAAGACACUCAAAGAACACCUCAUGUUUCAAAUUUGUUACAUAACGUUUACCAUACGUGCAUGCUACGGGACUUGCAAACUUCAACACAAGUAUUUCUCAAAUUCACAACUACUCAACUAGCACAACUUUGAUAUCACUACCUCCAUGUCUCAAAACAAUCAUCAAGCAUCAAACUUCUCUUAGUAGUCAACACACUCAUAAAAAAGUUUUUACUAGUCUUGAAUACCUAGCAUAUUAGGAUUAUUUAAGCAAAUUACCAUGCUAUUUAAGACUCUCAAAAUAAUAUAAGUGAAGCAUGAGAGAAUAAUAGUUUCUAUAAAACAAAUCCACCACCGUGCUCUAAAAGAUAUAAGUGAAGUACUAGAGCAAAGACUAUAUAACUCAAAAGAUAUAAGUGAAGCACAUAGAGUAUUCUAAUAGUUUCCGAAUCAUGUGUGUCUCUCUCAAAAGGUGUGUACAGCAAAUAUGAUUGUGGUAAACUAAAAAGCAAAGACUCAAAUCAUACAAGACGCUCCAAGCAAAACACAUAUCAUGUGGUGAAUAAAAAUAUAGCUCCAAGUAAAGUUACCGAUGGAAGUAGACGAAAGAGGGGAUGCCUUCCGGGGCAUCCCCAAGCUUUGGAUUUUAGGUGUCCUUAGAUUAUCUUGGGGUGCCAUGGGCAUCCCCAAGCUUAGGCUCUUGCCGCUCCUUGUUCCAUAAUCCAUCAAAUCUUUCACCCAAAACUUGAAAACUUCACAAUACAAAACUCAGCAGAAAAUCUCGUGAGCUCCGUUAGCGAAAGAAAACAAAAGACCACUUCAAGGUACUGUAAUGAACUCAUUCUUUAUUUAUAUUGGUGUUAAACCUAGUGUAUUCCAACUUCUCUAUGGUUUAUAAACUAUUUUACUAGCCAUAGAUUCAUCAAAAUAAGCAAACAACACACGAAUAACAGAAUCUGUCAAAAACAGAACAGUCUGUAGUAAUCUGUAACUAACGCAAACUUCUGGAAAUCCCAAAUUCAGACAAAAUAGGACUACCUAGACAAUUUGUUUAUUGAUCAGCAGAAAUUGGAAUCAAUAUUUUAUCACGUUCCGGUGAUUUUUAACAAUUGUUUUCGUGAACAGAAAGUUUCUGGAAUUUAGAGCAAGAUCAAAUAACUAUCAUCCAAGAAGAUCCUAUAGGUUUAACUUGGCACAAACACUAAUUAAAACAUAAGAACAAAUCUAACCAGAGGCUAGAACAAAGAUUUAUUGAAUAGCAUCAAGGAAAAAUAUUGGUUUGUCUCCCAACAAGCGCUUUUUUUAAAGCCUUUUAGCUAGGCAUUGAUAAUUUUAAUGAUGCUCACAUGAAAGACAAGAAUUGAAGCACAAAGAGAGCAUCAUAAAACACAUGACAAACACAUCUAAGUCUAACAUACUUCCUAUGCAUAGGCAUCUUAUAGAAAAUCAAAUUAUCAUAGCAAGCAAAAACUAGCAUAUGCAAGGAAGCGGAAAGGAACAAUAGCAAUCUCAACAUAACGAGAGGUAAUUUAGUAACAUGAAAAUUUCUAUAAACAUAUUUUCCUAUAUCAUAAUAAUUACAUGUAGGAUCAUAACAAAAUUCAACAAUAAAGCUAUCAAAUAACAUAUUCUCAACACGAUCCACAUGCAUGCGAAGUUGACACUCUUCCAAAAUAGUGGGAUUAUCAUUAACUAAAGUCAUGAUUUCUCCAAGCCCACUUUUAUCAAAAAUUUCAUAAGAUUGAAUAUUAUCCAAAUAUGUGCGAUCUAAAGUUGACACUCUUCCAAACCCACUUUCAAUAUUAUUUCAAACACUAUUAUCAAUCUUAUAUUCGUCAUGGGGCUUAAAUAAAUUUUCAAGAUCAUAAGAAGAAUCUCCCCAAUCAUGAUUAUUGCAACAGGUAGUGGACAUAGCAAAACUAGCAUCCCCAAGCUUAGGGUUUUGCAUAUUAUUAGCAUAAUUUACAUCAAUAUAAUUUAUAAUAAAAUCAUUGCAAUCAUGCUUUUUAGUCAAAGAUCUAUCGUGAAUCACUUCAUAAAGCACUUCAUCACAAUUUUCAGAUUCACGGAUUUCAAGCAAAACCUUAUAAAGAUAAUCUAGUGCAUCCAAAUCACUAGGAAUUGGUUCAACAUAAUUGGAUCUCUUAAAAAGAUUGGCAAGCGGAUGAGGAUCCAUAGAUAUUAGCUUCUCUGUUUAGGAUAAAUACUCAACUAUUUCAACCAAACGUACAAACGAGCCAAGUAAGACAUCAAGGCAAACGAAAAGACGAACGGAAAAGAGAGCGGGAAUAAAACGGCAAGGGUGAAGUGGGGGAGAGGAAAACGAGAGGCAAAUGGCAAAUAAUGUAAUGCGGGAGAUAAGGGUUUGUGAUGGGUACUUGGUAUGUUGACUUUUGCAUAGACUCCCCGGCAACGGCGCCAGAAAUCCUUCUUGCUACCUCUUGAGCACUGCGUUGGUUUUCCCUUGAAGAGGAAAGGGUGAUGCAGCAAAGUAGCGUAAGUAUUUCCCUCAGUUUUUGAGAACCAAGGUAUCAAUCCAGUAGGAGGCCACGCACGAGUCCCUCGCACCUACACAAACAAAUAAAUCCUCGCAACCAACGCGAUAAGGGGUUGUCAAUCCCUACACGGUCACUUACGAGAGUGAGAUCUGAUAGAUAUGAUAAGAUAAUAUUUGAUAUUUUUAUGAUAAAGAUGCAAAGUAAAGAAAGUAAAAUAAAAGCGGCGCCAGAAAUAGCUUGUUGUCGGGAGAUUAAUAUGAUGGAAAAUAGACCCGGGGGCCAUAGGUUUCACUAGUGGCUUCUCUCAAGAGCAUAAGUAUUUACGGUGGGUGAACGAAUUACUGUUGAGCAAUUGACAGAAUUGAGCGUAGUUAUGAGAAUAUCUAGGUAUGAUCAUGUAUAUAGGCAUCACGCCCGAGACAAGUAGACCGACUCCUGCCUGCAUCUACUACUAUUACUCCACACAUCGACCGCUAUCCAGCAUGCAUCUAGAGUAUUAAGUUCAUAAGAACAGAGUAAUGCUUUAAGCAAGAUGACAUGAUGUAGAGGGAUAAACUCAGGCAAUAUGAUAUAAACCCCAUCUUGUUAUCCUCGAUGGCAACAAUACAAUACGUGCCUUGCUGCCCCUACUGUCACUGGGAAAGGACACCGCAAGAUUGAACCCAAAGCUAAGGACUUCUCCCAUUGCAAGAAAGAUCAAUCUAGCAGGCCAAACCAAACUGAUAAUUCGAAGAGACUUGCAAAGAUAACCAAUCAUACAUAAAAGAAUUCAGAGAAGAUUCAAAUAUUGUUCAUAGAUAAACUUGAUCAUAAACCCACAAUUCAUCGGUCUCAACAAACACACCGCAAAAGAAGAUUACAUCGAAUAGAUCUCCACGAGAGAGGGGGAGAACAUUGUAUUGAGAUCCAAAAAGAGAGAAGAAGCCAUCUAGCUAAUAACUAUGGACCCCGAAGGUCUGAGGUAAACUACUCACACAUCAUCGGAGAGGCUAUGGUGUUGAUGUAGAAGCUCUCCGUGAUCGAUGCCCCCUCCGGCGGACCUCCGAAACAGGCCCCAAGAUGGGAUCUUACGGGUACAGAAGGUUGCGGCGGUGGAAUUAGGUUUUUGGCUCCGUAUCUGGUAGUUUGGGGGUACGUAGGUAUAUAUAGGAGGAAGGAGUACGUCGGUGGAGCAACAGGGGGCCCACGAGGGUGGAGGGCGCGCCCAGGGGGGUAGGCGUGCCCCCCUACCUCGUGCCUUCCUGGUUGAUCUCUUGACGUAGGGUCCAAGUCCUCUGGAUCACGUUCGUUCCGAAAAUCAUGUUCCCGAAGGUUUCAUUCCGUUUGGACUCCGUUUGAUAUUCUUUUUCUGCGAAACUCUGAAAUAGGCAAAAAACAGCAAUUCUGGGCUGGGCCUCCGGUUAAUAGGUUAGUCCCAAAAAUAAUAUAAAAGUGUAUAAUAAAGCCUAAUAAUGUCCAAAAUAGAAUAUAAUAUAGCAUGGAGCAAUCAAAAAUUAUAGAUACGUUGGAGACGUAUCAGCGGGCUUUAUAACUUUCACUUAGUCAUAGGAGCUUUAAACUGGGGAAGCUAGCUACGAGCCCCCGGUUAGUGUUCGGCGACAGCCGAGGUCAAGUCGUAAACACUUCGGCCAAUGUUAUGAACGGCCCGUCAUUUAACACCGUCAUCGGAUCGCUGACCAGUUUAUGCUUAUUGUGACAGUCAGUUUUUGGCUUUCUCCACUGAGGUGCUUAACCAUGCGAGCUGGAAGCACAAUCGCAGUGGUUCUCCCUUUGCACACCUAGCCGAACAAAGCGGAACGUAGGAGGCAAGCACAGGAGCCGGGCAACCCAACCAUUGACCGAAGACACAAUUCGAAACCGAUGCAUAUAUAGCAAUAUCCGAGAAUGUUUUUGCCGAAUCUCUAAAGGUGUCCGGCGUUGCACUGCGAGACUUAUGCUGGAAACACACAAAUAGUUUAAAAGUGCCAUAGGCUUGGAAAACCAAAAAACUUCAGUAAAAACUUGACGUCCGAGCUAGAUCAAGUGUUCGGUGCCAAUCCGAAAAUUGGAGAAAAAAGAAAAACUUGUGCUUAUGUCGUGCUUUAACAUGACACAUCCGAUCUCAAGACUUUCAACCGGGUCAGCCUACGGCUUGAAGCUCCUUAUCCCGAAGGCGGAGUACUUCUCCGAGGCCAGUUUAGCGAACUAAACUCGAGCUGCUUUUAGAGAGAAGACAGUCUAUCCGGCUAUUGACCAUACACUCGAGUCGGAAAAGGAGCGGUAGAAAAAGACUUUGCAACGACCAAGAAGAAAACACAUUUACUAUAAAACAGCUCAUACUAAUUUAAGAGCCCCCAAGUGACUUGGGUAAAAGAAUUUUAUUUAUAAUGAUUGUAUGUACCGAAGUACUUAUAUCAUAUCUGUAUUCACCCGAACUUUAAACGCGUCUUAACCGACUGUCGGCUUCUCCCUCUUCGGUCAAGGGCCGAAAAGUGUUAUGCACUCCACCUGUCGAGAAUAUCGACGGUGUUUCCGAUAACCAGGCAAUCAGGCCAUAAGGCUGUAACAGACAAAGCAUGCUCAGGGAACUUAUGCUAUAUUACUGACGAAGUGUAAGAAGCAUCUUCGAAGAAAAUAGUACCCCCACCGAUACCUUUCUUCGGUUGCUCAUUGUUACUAUGAGACUUGUGCAAUUGAUUUUUUGUACUCAUGAGUUCCGUUGUGUGCCGACCAUGAUUGAAAACAAUAAGAGCGCUAGCUUUUGGCUUCACCCAGUCUGAGGUCCGAGCUCGGAUGACCCGACCGUGACAAUCGCAGAGGUGCUCCCUUUACUCCCUAGCCAAACAAUCGAGAAUGUAGGGGUAAACACAGGAGCAAGGCAACCCAGCUUGCGGAACACUUAAGUCAAUAUGGUGCAUAUUGUGGCUUAAUACACGAACAAGAAACGAAGCCAUACAAGUAUAAUCAUAUGCAAGAGGAAAGGCUUCAUAAAGGAAGCCCCCAAGUAAACGGGGUAUUUAAAUUUGUGUGUCACAAAUAAAGUUUUGACAAGGAAGUUUUUCACAAACAACUUUUUGCCAAAAAAGUAUAAUGCUUGGUCGAACCGAACAAAAUUUAAAACUGAAAGUCUUUGAGCAUGAAAGCGACUUAGCUGGUUAAUGUGCUCGGUGUUGAUGACGCGAUUCGGGCUUGUGGCGGGACGAAGCGCACAUUGAUCUGUGACAGAUCCGACAAGGUUCGCAGUCCUCGGCAUGGCCAAGGUCCCAGCCCCCAAGCCCGAGGUGUCUGAUACGUCUUCAACGUAUCUAUAAUUUAUGAAGUAUUCAUGCUAUUAUAUUAUCUGUUUUGGACAUUAAUGGGCUUUACUAAGCACUUUUAUAUGAUUUUUGGGACUAACCUAUUAACCCAGAGCCCAGUGCCAGUUUCUGUUUUUUCCCUUGUUUUCAGUGUUUCGUAGAAAAAGAAUAUCAAACGGAGUCCAAACGGAAUGAAACCUUCGGGAGAGUUAUUUUUGGAACGGAAGCAAUCCAGAAGACUUGGGGUGUACGUAAGGGAAGCAACGAGGAAGGCACGAGGCAGGGGGCGCGCCCUCCACCCUCGUGGGCCCCUCGUGGCUCCCCUGACGUAUUUCUUCCUCCUAUAUAUACCAAUAUACCCUAAAACCCUCGGGGAACAGAAGAGAUCGGGAGUUCCGCCGCCGCAAGCCUCUGUAGCCACCAAAACCCAAUCUGGACCCUGUUCCAGCACCCUGCCGGAGGGGGGAACCCUCACCGGUGGCCAUCUUCAUCAUCCCGGCAAUCUCCAUGAUGAGGAGGGAGUAGUUCACCCUCGGGGCUGAGGGUAUGUACCAGUAGCUAUGUGUUUGAUCUCUCUCUCUCUCUCUCAUGUUCUUGAGGUGAUACGAUCUUGAUGUAUCGCGAGCUUUGCUACUAUAGUUGGAUCUUAUGAUGUUUCUCCCCCUCUACUCUCUUGUAAUGGAUUGAGUUUUCCCUUUGAAGUAAUCUUAUCGGAUUGAGUCUUUAAGGAUUUGAGAACACUUUUAUCAUUAGCUACCUUGCUGUUUUUAUAUUUUUCAGAUUACAAAAACAUAUAUCUACCAUCCAUAUUGCACUUGUAUCACCAUCUCUUCACCGAACUAGUGCACCUAUACAAUUUACCAUUGUAUUGGGUGUGUUGGGGACACAAGAGACUCUUUGUUAUUUGGUUGCAGGGUUGUUUGAGAGAGACCAUCUUCAUCCUAUGCCUCCCAUGGAUUGAUAAACCUUAGGUCAUCCACUUGAGGGAAAUUUGCUACUGUCCUACAAACCUCUGCACUUGGAGGCCCAACAACGUCUACAAGAAGAAGGUUGCGUAGUAGACAUCAAGCAGUUUCUGGCGCCGUUGCCGGGGAGGUGAGUGCUUGAAGGUAUAUCUUUAGAUCUUGCAAUCGAAUCUUUUUGUUUCUUGUUUUAUCACUAGUUUAGUCUAUAAAAUAAAACUACAAAAAAAUGGAAUUGAGUUUGUCUCAUACGCUUCAUCUUUUUAAUAUCUUUCGUGAGAAUGAUGGGAAGGAAAAAUGUGCUCAAGUGCUAGAAGAAGAAGUCUAUAAAAUGUUUGGCAUUAAAUCUUUGAAUGAUGAGCAUGAUUGCAAUGUUGUUAGUAUGAAUUCUUUGAAUAGCCAUGAUGCUAAUGAUAUGCAAAGCCACAAGCUUGGGGAAGCUAUGUUUGAUGAAGAUGAUAUUUUUUGUCCCCCAAGCUUUGAUGAGCAAAUUUACUAUGAUGAAAGCAUGCCUCCUAUCUAUGAUGAUUAUUGUGAUGACACGUAUGCUUUAAAGAAUAAUGAUAACCAUGAAACUUGUCAUCUUGAUCUUAAUUUUCAAUCACAUGAUAGUUAUUUUGUUGAGUUUGCUCCCACUACUAUUGAUGAGAAUAAAUUUGCUUACGUGGAGUGUAGGAAAAUUUCUAUGCAUGUAGAUCAUGAAAACAAUGCUUUAGGUGCUGGUUAUAUUGUUGAAUUCAUUCAUGAUGCUACUGAAAAUUAUUAUGAGGGAGGAACAUAUGCUUGUAGGAAUUGCAAUAAUAUCAAGUUUCCUCUCUAUGUGCUUAAAGUUUUGAAGUUAUGCUUGUUUUGCCUUCCUAUGCUAGUUGAUUAUUGUUCCCAUAAGUUAUUUGCUCACAAAAUCCCUAUUCAUAGGAAGUGGGUUAGACUUAAAUGUGCUAGUCAUAUUCUUCAUGAUGCUCUCUUUAUGUUUCAAUUCUUAUGUUUUAUGUGAGCAUCAUUGAAAUCAUCAUGCCUAACUAGGGGCGUUAAACGAUAGCGCUUGUUGGGAGGCAACCCAACUUUAUUUUAGUUUCUUGCUUUUUGGUUCUGUUUAGGAAUAAAUAAUCUAUCUAGCCUCUGGUUAGAUGUGGUUUUAUGUUUUAAUUAGUGUUUGUGCCAAGUAAGACCUAUAGGAUCUUCUUGGGUGAUAGUUAUUUGAUCCUGCUGAAAAUUCCAGAAACUUUCUGUUCACGAAAAAAAAAAUUAAAAUCACCAGAACGUGAUAAAAUAUUGAUUCCAAUUGCAGAAGAUCAAUAAACAAAUUAUUUAGGUCUUCCUAUUUUGGCUGAAUUUUUGGAGUUCCAGAAGUUUGCGUUAGUUACAGAUUACUACAGACUGUUCUGUUUUUGACAGAUUCUGUUUUUUGUGUGUUGUUUGCUUAUUUUGAUGAAUCUAUGGCUAGUAAAAUAGUUUAUAAACCAUAGACAAGUUGGAAUACAGUAGGUUUAACACCAAUAUAAAUAAAUAAUAAGUUCAAUACAGUACUUUGAAGAGGUGUUUUGUUUUCUUUCGCUAACGGAGCUUACGAGUUUUCUGUUGAGUUUUGUGUUGUGAAGUUUUCAAGUUUUGGGUGAAGAUUCGAUGGACUACGGAAUAAGGAGUGGCAAGAGCCUAAGCUUGGUGAUUCCCAAGGCACCCCAAGGUAAUAUUCAAGGACAACCAAGAGCCUAAGCUUGGGGAUGCCCCGGAUGGCAUCCCCUCUUUCGUCUUCGUUCAUCGGUAACUUUACUUGGAGCUAUAUUUUUAUUCACCACAUGAUAUGUGUUUUGCUUGGAGCGUCAUUUUAUUUUCUUUUGUUUUGCUUGCUGUAUGAAUAAAAUACCAAGAUCUGAAAAUUCUUAAAUGAGAGAGAGUCUUCACAUAGCUACAUAAUUAUUUAACUACUCAUUGAUCUUCACUCAUAUCUUUUUGGAGUAGUUUGUCAUUUACUCGUGUGCUUCACUUAUAUCCUAUGAGUAAAUGGUUGAAUGAUUUGAAUGUCAUAAAUCUGAAAUUAUACAUGUUUCAUAUGCUUAUCCCAUGGGGAGUAAUGACUUUACAUAUAAGAAGUAGAGGUGGUAAAUUUUUUGAAGGUUAGCAAACAUUGUAUUGGUCACUUGAACAAUUCAUGAAAGAAUAUUGAAGGAAGAGAGAUUUCACAUAUAAAUAUACUAUCUUGGACAUCUUCUAUGAUUGUGAGCCCCAUUAAUUAUUUUCAAACCUGAGCGAAUUAGUUGAAGUUGGACAAGGAAGACAACAUAAUGAGUUAUGCUUGGGUAUAUUUGUACAGAAGUUAUAUUGUUAUGGAUCCUCUAACAUGUGGUGCUUGCUAUUUAGAAUCCUUUGCUAGCCAAAAUAUCUGUACUAAGCGGGAAUACUGCUUGUGCAUCCAAAUUCCUUGAACCAAGUUUCUUCCAUGAGUGUCCACCAUAUCUACCUAUAUGCGGUAUUUACCUGCCAUUCCAAGUAAAUUUGCAUGUGCCAAACUCUAAACCUUCAAAUAAUAAUCUGUUUUGUAUGCCUGAAUCGCUCAUGUAGCGACUAGGGGCUAGCAGUAUCUUCCAUGCUAGGUGGGUUAUUCUCACGAUGAGUGGACACCGCUCAUCAUUCACGAGAAAAUGGCUGGUAACUCGGAUGCCCAGUCCCAUGAUCAAAAGAUCGAAAUCAAAUCAAAAAUAAUUACAAACAAAACUCCCCCAGGUUUGAUGUUAGUUGGAGGCACCCGUUGUUUCGAGCAAGCCAUGGAUUGAUGAUUGUUGGUGGAGGGGGAGUAAAAAUCUUUACCUUUCUGUUUGGGAACCGCCUAUAAUGUAUGUAGUAUGGAAGAUAUUGGGAACUCUUGGUCGUUAUGUUGACAAUGAAAGCAUACCUCUCAAAAUUAUUUUCAUCUCUGUUUUUGCUUCGAGCUCUGGCACCUCUGCAAAUCCCUGCUUCCCUCUGCGAAGGGCCUAUCUUUUACUUUUAUGCAAGAGUCAGUAGUAUUCCUUCUCAUUCCAACCUACUCUUUAGUUGGCAAGCAUCAUAUAUUGGAAAGAUCUAAGCAUAUAUGGCCAUUCAAAUAUAUUUGAUCAUGAAUUAUUACUGUUGACAUUACCCUUGAGGUAAAAGGUUGGGAGGCGAAACAUUAAGCCCCUAUCUUUCUCUGUGUUCGAUGAAUACUAUUUGUUCUAAAAAUAUGCUUUGAGUGGUAGCAAUCAUGGAAGACUAAAUGAUAGUUGAGUAUGUGGAGUUUGCUAAAUCAAAGCUCUGACAUAGACUCUUCCUGAAAAUAAGAUGAAUUGUAAUUGUUUGAUGACUAAUAACACGGUUUGUUAGUUUUCAAGAAAGUUUAUGAUCUAUACUUUAACAUGUGAAUAGUUUGUUACUUGAUCAUGCAAAGUUCUAUGAGUUGAGCUACUGUUAUGAUAUAUAAUGAUGCUAGAAAAGGUGAUUGAAAUUAUCAUUGAUCAAACUUGUGCACCUGCUAGCAUUCACACUUCAUAAAUUCUUUCUUUUAUCAUUUACCUACUCGAGGACGAGCAGGAAUUAAGCUUGGGGAUGCUGAUACGUCUUCAACGUAUCUAUAAUUUAUGAAGUAUUCAUGCUAUUAUAUUAUCUAUUUUGGACGUUAAUGGGCUUUACUAAGCACUUUUAUAUGAUUUUUGGGACUAACCUAUUAACCCAGAGCCCAGUGCCAGUUUCUGUUUUUUCCCUUGUUUCAGUGUUUCGCAGAAAAAGAAUAUCAAACGAAGUCCAAACGGAACGAAACCUUCGGGAGAGUUAUUUUUGGAACGGAAGCAAUCCAGAAGACUUGGGGUCUACGUAAGGGAAGCAACGAGGAAGGCACGAGGCAGGGGGCACGCCCUCCACCCUCGUGGGCCCCUCGUGGCUGCCCUAACGUAUUUCUUCCUCCUAUAUAUACCAAUAUACCCUAAAACCAUCGGGGAACAGAAGAGAUCGGGAGUUCCGCCGCCGCAAGCCUCUGUAGCCACCAAAACCCAAUCGGGACCCCGUUCCGGCACCCUGCCGGAGGGGGGAACCCUCACCGGUGGCCAUCUUCAUCAUCCCGGCGAUCUCCAUGACGAGGAGGGAGUAGUUCACCCUCGGGGCCGAGGGUAUGUACCAGUAGCUAUGUGUUUGAUCUCUCUCUCGUGUUCUUGAGGUGAUACGAUCUUGAUGUGUCGCGAGCUUUGCUACUAUAGUUGGAUCUUAUGAUGUUUCUCCCCCUCUACCCUCUUGUAAUGGAUUGAGUUUUCCCUUUGAAGUAAUCUUAUCGGAUUGAGUCUUUAAGGAUUUGAGAACACUUGAUGUAUGUCUUGCGUGGGAUAACCGUGGUGGUGAUCAACUUGCGGGUUCCGCCCAUGAACCUAUGCAUAGGGGUUGGCACACGUUUUCGUCAUGACUCUCCGAUAGAAACUUUGGGGCACUCUUUGAGGUUCUAUGUGUUGGUUGAAUAGAUGAAUUUGAGAUUGUGUGAUGCAUAUCGUAUAAUCAUACCCACGGAUACUUGAGGUGACAUUGGAGUAUCUAGGUGACAUUAGGGUUUUGGUUGAUGUGUGUCUUAAGGUGUUAUUUUACUACGAACUCUAGGGCUGUUUGUGACACUUAUAGGAAUAGCCCAAUGGAUUGAUCGGAAAGAAUAACUUUGAGGUGGUUUCGUACCGUACAAUAAUCUCUUCGUUUGUUCUCCGCUAUUAGUGACUUUGGAGUGACCCUUUGUUGCAUGUUGAGGGAUAUCUAUAUGAUCCAAUUAUGUUAUCAUUGUUGAGAGAACUUGCACUAGUGAAAGUAUGAACCCUAGGCCUUGUUUCCUAGCAUUGCAAUACCGUUUACGCUCACUUUUAUCAUUAGUUACCUUGCUGUUUUUAUAUUUUCAGAUUACAAAAACAUAUAUCUACCAUCCAUAUUGCACUUGUAUCACCAUCUCUUCGCCGAACUAGUGCACCUAUACAAUUUACCAUUGUAUUGGGUGUGUUGGGGACACAAGAGACUCUUUGUUAUUUGGUUGCAGGGUUGUUUGAGAGAGACCAUCUUCAUCCUACGCCUCCCACGGAUUGAUAAACCUUAGGUCAUCCACUUGAGGGAAAUUUGCUACUGUCCUACAAACCUCUGCACUUGGAGGCCCAACAACGUCUACAAGAAGAAGGUUGCGUAGUAGACAUCAGUGUCCAAGCAAGGAGUUCGGCACUCCGGAGUAGUGACACAGCUCGGCCGAUGUGGUAAGGCGAAGCCCCCAGUCUAGCCGAGCUGGCGGAGUUGGUCGGCAAGGUGACAAUGAAGCCCCCACGCCAGUCGACCUGUUCAGCAUGGUGGACGUCAGUUUGAUGAAGCGACGACGCUGCGCGGCCGAUGUGGCGAGAUGAAGUUCUCGGUCCAGUUAACAUGGCGAAGCUGUGAUCGGCGGAUGCCGAAGUCUAAUGUGGGUCGGCUGGUGAUGCCGAAGUGACCGCGUAACGCAGUCAAAAUCGAUUACCUGCACACAUAAAAUAGUGCGGUUCAAAAAUAAUAUAUAUAUAUAUAAUCCUUGCAUAAUUGCUUUAUGCAAAAAUAAUUUAUUUAAAGAGAUGUGGCCUGGCGCCGAAGCCAAUGCUGAUGCAGGGUGUCGGCGUGACACAGUGAAGGCGUGACAAAGCCUUUGCAAGGCGGUCCGGGCUCUAGAUGCCGCGUUCGCCGAACUGCGGACGGGGAAUGGACCGAACCAUCGCGCAACCAUCGUUAAUGCGGCCAUCAUUUGACAGACCUGUGUACAGAUGAUGGAACAAACCAGAGUAAUAAUUUUUCGAAAAAAUAAACCCAAGCAAGAAAAAAUUACUAGGAUUAAUAGCACCUGGUUUAUCUGUUGUAGCAAUCUGAAAAAAGGUUACUCCCAAAAUUGGGACUUGAUCCGCACACCCAUUGCCUGAUGAGCGAUGGAGCGGCGGCAUGGCGAUGCUGGCAAAGGUUGGCCUACCGAGGCAAAGCCCCCGGUCCAGCUAACGUGACGAAGCUGGUCGGUUGACGACACCGAAGUCUCCGGAGUAGGCCGAUGAAGGGAUGGUGAAGCCCCCGGUCCAGACAAGGAGACGGAGCAGGUCGGUAAGGAGAUGUUGCAGCUGCCAUGUGAUGUGUUGAAGUAGUUCGGCGUGAUGGACAUCGGCUCGAUGAAGCAACGGUGCAGACAUGCCGAUGCAGGUCUUAACUUGUGACGUGGUCAAUGCUGGCUUGAUGAAGUGGCCGUGAGGCGAUGCUGGUGUGCCCGCUCCGUGUAAUCCGUGGGCGGCGAUGUUGGUGAUGAUUUAUCCUUCGCGAUGCCGAACUCUUGUUCGGCUUGCCGAGAUGAUGAUCCGAAGAAGUUGAGCUCGGCUCAACAAAGCGACGACGUGUGAGCGCAGGUCGGCAGCCGUAGAGCAACGUUGUCGGGCUGGUUUGACACCGGUGCGAUGGUGAAGAUCAUAUUGGAAAAGCUUUAAAAUUAGCGGGAUGUGUUUGGGAAGAAAACACAAUACCCCAUACGAAAAUUCCUUCAAAAAGGAUGUCCGAAAUCCCGUUCAUAAAAAGAUGAACUCGGGUCGGAUUCGUUCUCGCGCAGAAAACAGAUCUGAAAAGUGAUGCACUAAUUGGAAGGUUACCGGAGUUUGGACGGUCGGAUCGAGCCAAAAUUUUGAGGGAUGGUAGAUAUGGGAAUUCCGCAGCAGAUGAACGGUUGGAUCUUCCAAAGGACCUCCGAGCUAGGCUCUAGAGACCACGCCCUAAACUCGUCCAGAUUCCCGUCCAUAUUUGACAGGGCUCCGGUAUAUCGUAGAUUGCUAGAGAUUCCUUCAUCGGAACUCGACGCAAUUUUCCCGGGUUGUUGUAGACUCAAUUCCGCACAAUUCCACUGAAGCAAUUGUUAAAACGACACUCGAGGAGGCGGUGGCGGCGGAUACAAGUUCGCUGUUUGGAAAAACAGCACAGUCGCCCGAGGGCAAUGCUGACGUUGAGCUCCCGAGCUCCAUGGAUGAUUCCUCCAUGAUCUUGAUAGAGAUCGGAGUUGAUGUUGAUGAAGGCCCUCGUCCGAACAUGAUGAUUGGAGGUUGGGCACAGUCCUCGGUCAAGCCAAGGUGACCAGUCGAGGGGGCGACGAAGACGCCGACGUUGCAGUUUAUCUGCAGACGAGCCAUUGAUCCUUUUGCCGACCACACAGCGGAACUCUCAAUGAAAGCAUCAUUUUCACCCUCCGAAAUAUUGGGACGCCUUCUACCUAAAGUUGACUCUUCUCCAGUCCCUUUUUCAUCAAUUUUAACUUUACUAAACAAGGAAUCAAUAGAAGAAACACCAAUCAUUUUAAGAUCUUCGUCACUUUUGCGAAAGAAAUCACUAGAAAACGCUUUUUCUAAAAAUUCCCUUUUAGCUCUAAGCAUAGUGGUUUUUUCUUACUUUCAUCCAUACAAACAUAAAGAGCUUCAAUUGAUUCAUCUACUUUAGGCACACAAAUUUUCAUCUUGAGAUUUUCCACAUCAUGAGCAAUUCUAUCAACACUUCUAGACAAACCAUCAAUCUUACUCAACUUUUCUUCUAUGGAAGUGUUGAAAACUUUUUGCAUGUUGAUAAAUUCUUUAAUAUUAUUCUCAAGAUCAGAGGUGUUCCUAUUAUUAUUAUAAGAUUGGUUUCCAUAGGAAUUACAAUAAUUAUUAUAGGAAUUACUAGGAAAAGGCCUAGGAUUAAAAUUACCUCUAUAAGCAUUGUUAUUGAAAUUAUUUGAAGUAUUAUUGUUUUUAUGUCAACAUUGAACUUUUAUCUUGAAUCUUUUUGAUCUAAAUAUUCAUGCCACAAUAAAAAGAAUUACAUUGAAAAUUAUGCUAAGAAGCAUUCCACAUCAAAAAUUCUGUUUUUAUCAUUUACCUACUCGAGGACGAGCGGGAAUUAAGCUGGGGGAUUCUUGAUACGUCUCCAACGUAUCUAUCAUUUUUGAUUGUUCCAUGCUAUUAUAUAUUCUGUUUUGGAUGUUUAAUGGGCUUAUUUAUACACUUUUAUAUUAUUUUUUGGGACUAACCUAUUAACCGGAGGCCCAGCCCAAAUUGUUGUUUUUUGCCUAUUUCAGUGUUUCGCUGAAAAAGAAUAUCAAACGGAGUCCAAACGGAAUGAAACCUUCGGGGCGUGAUUUUUGGAACAAACGUGAUCCAGAGGACUUGGAGUGGACGUCAAGCAACCAACGAGGAGGCCACGAGGCAGGGGGCGCGCCUACCCCCCUGGGCGCGCCCUCCAGCCUCGUGGGCCCCUCGUGGCUCCACCGACCUACUUCUUCCUCCUAUAUAUACCUACGUACCCCAAACCAUCAAGGAGCACCACGAAAACCUAAUUCCACCGCCGCAACCUUCUGUACCCAUGAGAUCCCAUCUUGGGGCCUUUUCCGGUGCUCCGCUGGAGGGGCAUUGAUCCCGGAGGGCUUCUACAUCAACACCAUAGCCUCUCCGAUGAUGUGUGAGUAGUUUACCUCAGACCUUCGGGUCCAUAGUUAUUAGCUAGAUGGCUUCUCCUCUCUCUUUGGAUCUCAAUACCAAGUUCUCCUCGAUUCUCUUGGAGAUCUAUUCGAUGUAAUCUUCUUUUGCGGUGUAUUUGUCGAGAUCCGAUGAAUUGUGGGUUUAUGAUCAAGAUUAUCUAUGAACAAUAUUUGAAUCUUCUCUGAAUUCUUUUAUGUGUGAUUGGUUAUCUUUGCAAGUCUCUUCGAAUUAUCAGUUUGGUUUGGCCUACUAGAUUGAUCUUUCUUGCAAUGGGAGAAGUGCUUAGCUUUGGGUUCAAUCUUGCGGUGCUCGAUCCCAGUGACAGUACGGGAAACGACACAUAUUGUAUUGUUGCCAUCGAGGAUAAAAAGAUGGGGUUUAUAUCAUAUUGCAUGAGUUUAUCCCUCUACAUCAUGUCAUCUUGCUUAAAGGGUUACUCCGUUCUUAUGAACUUAAUACUCUAGAUGCAUGCUGGAUAGCGGUCGAUGUGUGGAGUAAUAGUAGUAGAUGCAGGCAGGAGUCGGUCUACUUGUCACGGACGUGAUGCCUAUAUACAUGAUCAUACCUAGAUAUUCUCAUAAUUAUGCACUUUUCUAUCAAUUGCUCGACAGUAAUUUGUUUACCCACCGUAAUACUUAUGCUAUCUUGAGAGAAGCCACUAGUGAAACCUAUGGCCCCGGGGUCUAUUUUCCAUCAUAUUAAUCUCCCGUCAACAAGCUAUUUCUAUCUUUGUUUACUUUGCAAUCUUUACUUCUAAUCUUUAUCAUAAAAAUACCAAAAAUAUUAUCUUAUCAUCUCUAUCAGAUCUCACUUUUGCAAGUGGCCGUGAAGGGAUUGACAACCCCUUUAUCGCGUUGGUUGCAAGGUUCUUAUUUGUUUGUGUAGGUGCAAGGGACUUGAGCGUGGCCUCCUACUGGAUUGAUACCUUGGUUCUCAAAAACUGAGGGAAAUACUUACGCUACUUUGCUGCAUCACCCUUUCCUCUUCAAGGGAAAACCAAGGCAGUGCUCAAGAGGUAGCAAGAAGGAUUUAUGGCGCCGUUGCCGGGGAGGUGUGCACCAAGUCAAUUUAAGAUUUGAUCUCCCGACAAUGAACCAUUUCUGGCGCUGUUGGCAUGGAGUCUGCGCACAAGUCAAGACAUACCAAGUACCCAUCACAAACUAUUAUCCCUCGCAUUACAUUAUUUACCAUUUGCCUCUCGUUUUCCUCUCCCCCACUUCACCCUUGCCAUUUUAUUCGCCCUCUUUUUUCGUGCGCCUCUUUUUCGCUUGCUUCGUCGUUAUGGCUAGUCCUUUAUCUACUCCUUUGUCCCCCGAGUUUGAAGUUCUUCACUUCAAACAAAAACAAGGAGAAAAUUUAAAAGAUGCUUGGUAUAGAAUGAUAGAAUCCUAUCGUGGUUGCACUAUAGAGGGAGAUUUCAAGGUUUUACUUCGUAAUUUUUAUGUUGGGAUAACCUUAUCCUUGAUUUUGCCGCCAAAGGGAAUUUUAUUGAAACUGAUCCUAGUUUUGCUUAUGAAAUUAUAGAGGGGAUAGUAGGAGUACUUCCCCCACCAAAGGGACUAACUCUUACCCAUGAGGGAACCCAAAUCUUAGAAAAAUUAGGUGAAUUGCAAAAAUCUCUUGAACCUCUUAAAAAUGUUGGAGGAAACCUCAAUCGUAUGAAUACAUUGAUCACACUUUGCAAUAAACGGUUGGAUGCUCUAGAUCUAAGAAUCUCUGAGUAUGAAGGGAAACGUAAGGAACCUCCCGGAUUCGAGCAUAACCCCACUAAAAAGAUAAAUACCAAAGAUGGCAACACCUAGAUUUCUCCUCCUUUUUAUGCCUAGCUAGGGGCGUUAAACGAUAGCGCUUGUUGGGAGGCAUCCCAAUUUUAUUUUAGUUUUUUGCUUUUUGGUUCUGUUUAGGAAUAAAUAAUCCAUCUAGCUUCUGUUUAGAUGUGGUUUUGUGUUUUAGUUAGUGUUUGUGCCAAGUUAAACCUAUAGGAUCUUCUUGGAUGAUAGUUAUUUGAUCUUGCUGAAAAUUCCAGAAACUUUCUGUUCACGAAAACAAUUGUUAAAAAUCACCAGAACGUGAUAAAAUACUAAUUCCAACUGCAGUAGAUCAAUAAACAAAUUAUCUAGGUCUUCCUAUUUUGGUAGAAAUUUUGGAGUUCCAGAAGUUUGUGUUAGUUACAGAUUACUACAGACUGUUCCAUUUAUGACAGAUUCUGUUUUUUCGCGUGUUGUUUGCUUAUUUUAAUGAAUCUAUGGCUAGUAAUGGAGUUUAUGAACCAUACAAAAGUUCUAAUACAGUAGGUUUAACACCAAUAUAAAUAAAUAAUUAGUUCAUUACAGUACCUUGAAGUGGUGUUUUGUUUUCUUUCGCUAACGGAGCUCACGAGAUUUCCUGUUAAGUUUUGUGUUGUGAAGUUUUCAAGUUUUGGGUAAAGAUUUGAUGGAUUAUGGAACAAGGAUUGGAAAGAGCCUAAGCUUGGGGAUGCCCAAGGCACCCCAAGGUAAAAUUCAAGUACAACCAAAAGCUUAAGCUUGGGGAUGCCCCUGAAGGCAUCUCCUCUUUCGUCUUCGUCUAUCGGUAACUUUACUUGGAGCUAUAUUUUUAUUCACCACAUGAUAUGUGUUUUGCUUGGAACGUCUUGUAUGAUUUGAGUCUUUGCUUUUUAGUUUAUCACAGUCAUCCUCACUGUACACACCUUUUGAGAGAGACACACAUGAUUCGGAAUUUGUUAGAAUACUUUAUGUGCUUCACUUAUAUCUUUUGAGCUACAUAGUUUUUGCUCUAGUGCUUCACUUAUAUCUUUUAGAGCACGGUGGUGGUUUUAUUUUAUAGAAAUUAUUGAUCUCUCAUGCUUCACUUAUAUUAUUUUGAGAGUCUUAAACAGCAUGGUAAUUUGCUUUAAUUGUGAAAUUAAUCCGAAUGUGAUACGCAUCUAAGAUUAGCAUAAUAAAAAUUUCCAUAUUGAGUUCAUUGAAUAUCAUGAGAAGUUUGAAACUUGAUAAGUGUUUUGACAUAUAAAGGUGGUAAUAUUAGAGUGUGCUAGUUGAGCAAUUGUGAAAUUGAGAAAUACUUGUGUUAAGGUUGGCAAGUCCCGUAGCAUGCACGUAUGGUAAAAGUUGUGUGACAAUUUUGACACAUAAGGUGUUCUUUUAUUGCUUUCUUUAUGAGUGGCGGUCGGGGACGAGCGAUGGUCUUUUCCUACCAAUCUAUCCCUCUAGGGGCAUGCGUAGUAGUACUUUGCUUCGAGGGCUAAUAAACUUUUGCAAUAAGUAUACACUACUAGGAAAAGGGCUAUAGAUGAUAUGGACACUAAUGGCGCACCAGACAUGUGGUGCGCCACUACUAUAUACUAAUGGCGCACCAUGUGUUGGUGCGCCAUUAGUGUCCAAAUACUAAUGGCUUACCAUGUGUUGGUGCGCCAUUAGUGUCCAAAUACUAAUGGCGCACCACAUCCACGGUGCGCCACUAGUAACAAUUUUUUUUUCAAAACUAGUAAUGGCGCACCAGGGGAUAGUGCGCCAUUACUAGUUUAACUAGUAAUGGCGCACCACAUCCACGGUGCGCCACUAGUAAUUUUUUUCAAUUUUUUUUCAAAACUAGUAAUGGCACACCAGGGGAUAGUGCGCCAUUACUAGUUAAACUAGUAAUGGCGCACCACAUACACGGUGCUCCACUAGUAAUUUUUUUUCAAUUUUUUUUAUUUUUUUUCAAAACUAGUAAUGGCGCACCGUGAGUGUGGUGCGCCAUUACUAGUUGAACUAGUAAUGGCGCACCACUCCCACGGUGCGCCAUUACUAACUUGACCCAAAAAUUCCACCGNNNNNNNNNNNNNNNNNNNNNNNNNNNNNNNNNNNNNNNNNNNNNNNNNNNNNNNNNNNNNNNNNNNNNNNNNNNNNNNNNNNNNNNNNNNNNNNNNNNNNNNNNNNNNNNNNNNNNNNNNNNNNNNNNNNNNNNNNNNNNNNNNNNNNNNNNNNNNNNNNNNNNNNNNNNNNNNNNNNNNNNNNNNNNNNNNNNNNNNNNNNNNNNNNNNNNNNNNNNNNNNNNNNNNNNNNNNNNNNNNNNNNUUUUAAAAAAAUAAAAGGAAAUGAUGGAAAUGUCAAAAAAAAAUAAGUUUCCCAUGUGAUAUGUGGUCUAGUUGUUGGGAAAAUUUACAAAUAUGAAUUUCGACUUUAUUUGCAAAAUCUCUCUAGAAUUUGUAAAAUGGGCAUAACUUUUGCAUACGAACUCGGAUUAAAAAGUUUUUUAUAUGAAAAAUCAUCUACUCGAAAAGUUACAUCCGAAUUUAAUUGGGGGAACCUCGUUAAACAUUUUCAAAAUCCUCAAAAACCUAACAGAAAAAAGUUACGGGGCUUUCAAGAUCUAGAGGCAAAAAAAUUCAAAAAAAUUCAAACUUACUAGUGGCGCACCGUUUGCUAGGUGCGCCACUAGUAACAGAAAAAAAUUGGUGUUGAAUUUUUUUGGAAUUUUUUUUCAAAAAAUGAUACAUAAUAUGACCGGGAAGUUUGAAAUAUUUUUCAAAAUUUCAUCAUACUCAUGAACAUGAACAAAGUCCUAGAUAUCAACAAGGUUUAAUAGGAUUGAUAUGGUAGAUAUAUCAACAAGUGCCUGUUAAGUGAGGUGGUGCUGGGGUUGGAUAGAACUGUGAAGUUAAGCGUGCUCGGGUUGCAGUAGUGUGAGGAUGGGUGACCUUCCGGAAAGUUUGACCACUUAGUGCGAUUUGACUUGAGAUUAAGCAUAUUGACCCGAGAUUAAGCCAUAGUAACCCGAGAUUAAGGAAAAAACGAAAAAAAAAAUUGAAAAAAAUUUUGAAAAAAAAAUUGUUACUAAUGGCGCACUUCUAUGUGGUGCGCCAUUACUAAGUCGGAUAGUAAUGGCGCACCGUGGGCUAUACUAAUGGCGCACUGCCUGGUGCACCAUUACUAUUUGGUAUACUAAUGGCGCACCGUGGGCUAUACUAAUGGCGCACCUGUGGUGGGCCAUUAGUAAAAAAUUCUAAUGGCGUGGUGCUAGUGGCGUACCUGUAGUGCGCCAUUAGUAGGCAAAACAGGUGCGCCACUAGCAGGCCUUUUUCUAGUAGUGAUAUGAGUUCUUUAUGACUAAUAUGAGUCCAUGGAUUAUACGCACUCUCAACCUUCCACAAUGUUCUAGCCUCUACCGUACCGUGCAUUGCCCUUUCUCGCCUUGAGAGUUGGUGCAAACUUCGCCGGUGCAUCCAAACCCCGUGAUAUGAUACGCUCUAUCACACAUAAAUCUCCUUAUAUCUUCCUCAAAACAGCCACCGUACCUACCUAUCAUGGCAUUUCCAUAGCCAUUCCGAGAUAUAUUGCCAUGCAACUUUCCACUAUUCCGUUUAUUAUGACACGCUCCAUCAUUGUCAUAUUGCUUUGCAUGAUCACGUAGUUGACAUCAUAUUUGUGGCAAAGCCACCAUUCAUAAUUUUCUCAUACAUGUCACUCUUGAUUCAUUGCAUAUCCCGGUACACCACCGGAGGCAUUCACAUAGAGUCAUAAGUUGUAAUUCUUGAGUUGUAAGUAAUAAAAGUGUGAUGAUCAUCAUUAUUAGAGCAUUGUCCCAUGUGAGGAAAGGAUGAUGGAGACUAUGAUUCCCCCACAAGUCGGGAUGAGAUUCCGGACUAAAAUAAAAAAAAGAGGCCAAAGAAAAAAAGAGAAGGCCCAAGAAAAAAAAAGAGAGAAAAAAAGAAAUAAAAGAGAAAAAAUGAGAGAAAAAGAGAGAAGGGACAAUGUUACUAUCCUUUUUCCACACUUUUGCUUCAAAGUAGCACCGUGAUCUUCAUGAUAGAGAGUCUCCUAUGUUGUCACUUUCAUAUACUAGUGGGAAUUUUUCAUUAUAGAACUUGGCUUGUAUAUUCCAAUGAUGGGCUUCCUCAAAAUUCCCUAGGUCUUCGUGAUCAAGCGAGUUGGAUGCACACCCACUUAGUUUCUUUUGUUGAGCUUUCAUACAUUUAUAGCUCUAGUGCAUCCGUUGCAUGGCAAUCCCUACUCCUCUCAUUGACAUCAAUUGAUGGGCAUCUCCAUAGCCUAUUGAUUAGCCACGUCAAUGUGAGAUUUUCUACCUUUUUGUCUUCUCUCAUAACCCCCAUCAUUAUACUUUACUCCACCCAUAGCGCUAUAUCCAUGGCUUGCGCUCAUGUAUUGCGUAAGGGUUGAAAAGGCUGAAGCGCGUUAAAAAUUAUGAACCAAUUGCUCGGCUUGUCAUCGGGGUUAUGCAUGAUGAGAACGUUUGUGUGACGAUAUUGAAACAUGGCCUAACUAUAUGAUUUUGUAGGGAUAAGCUUUCUUUGGCUAUGUUAUUUUGGUAAGACAUAAUUGCUUGGUUAGCAUGUUUGAAGUAUUAUUGUUUUUAUGUCAACAUUAAACUUUUAUCUUGAAUCUUUCGGAUCUAAAUAUUCAUGCCACAAUAAAAAGAAUUACAUUGAAAAUUAUGCUAAGAAGCAUUCCACAUCAAAAAUUCUGUUUUUAUCAUUUACCUACUCGACGACGAGCAGGAAUUAAGCUUGGGGUGCUUGAUACGUCUCCAACGUAUCUAUAAUUUUUGCUUGUUCCAUGCUAUUAUAUAUUCUGUUUUGGAUGUUUAAUGGGCUUAUUUAUACACUUUUAUAUUAUUUUUUGGGACUAACCUAUUAACCGGAGGCCCAUCCCAAAUUGCUAUUUUUUUUGCCUAUUUCAGUGUUUCACAGAAAAAGAAUAUCAAACGGAGUCCAAACGGAAUGAAACCUUCGGGAGCGUGAUUUUUGGAACAAACGUGAUCCAGAGGACUUGGAGUGGACGUCAAGCAACCAACAAGGAGGCCAUGAGGGAGGGGGCGCGCCUACCCUCUGGGCGCGCCCUCCACCCUCGUGGCUCCACCGACCUACUUCUUCCUCCUAUAUAUACCUACGUACCCUCAUACCAUCGAGGAGCACCACGAAAACCUAAUUCCACCGCCGCAACCUUCUGUACCCGUGAGAUCCCAUAUUGGGGCCUUUUUCGGUGCUCCGCCGGAGGGGGCAUUGAUCACGGAGGGCUUCUACAUCAACACCAUAGCCUCUCCGAUGAUGUGUGAGUAGUUUACCUCAGACCUUCGGGUCCAUAGUUAUUAGCUAGAUGGCUUCUUCUCUCUCUUCGGAUCUCAAUACAAAGUUCUCCUCGAUUCUCUUGGAGAUCUAUUCGAUGUAAUCUUCUUUUGCGGUGUGUUUGUCGAGAUCCGAUGAAUUGUGGGUUUAUGAUCAAGAUUGUCUAUGAACAAUAUUUGAAUCUUCUCUGAAUUCUUUUAUGUAUGAUUGGUUAUCUUUGCAAGUCUCUUCGAAUUAUCAGUUUGGUUUGGCCUACUAGAUUGAUCUUUCUUGCAAUGGGAGAAGUGCUUAGCUUUGGGUUCAAUCUUGCGGUGCUCGAUCCCAGUGACAGUAGGGGAAACGACACAUAUUGUAUUGUUGCCAUCGAGGAUAAAAAGAUGGGGUUUAUACCAUAUUGCAUGAGUUUAUCCCUCUACAUCAUGUCAUCUUGCUUAAAGGGUUACUCCGUUCUUAUGAACUUAAUACUCUAGAUGCAUGCUGGAUAGCGGUCGAUGUGUGGAGUAAUAGUAGUAGAUGCAGGCAGGAGUCGGUCUACUUGUCACGGACGUGAUGCCUAUAUACAUGAUCAUACCUAGAUAUUCUCAUAAUUAUGCACUUUUCUAUCAAUUGCUCGACAGUAAUUUGUUUACCCACCGUAAUACUUAUGCUAUCUUAAGAGAAGCCACUAGUGAAACCUAUGGCCCCCGGGUCUAUUUUCCAUCAUAUUAAUCUCCCGCCAAUAAGCUAUUUCUAUCUUUGUUUACUUUGCAAUCUUUACUUUUAAUCUUUAUCAUGAAAAUACCAAAAAUAUUAUCUUAUCAUCUCUAUCAGAUCUCACUUUUGCAAGUGACCGUGAAGGGAUUGACAACCCCUUUAUCGCGUUGGUUGCAAGGUUCUUAUUUGUUUGUGUAGGUGCAAGGGACUUGAGCGUGGCCUCCUACUGGAUUGAUACCUUGGUUCUCAAAAACUGAGGGAAAUACUUACGCUACUUUGCUGCAUCACCCUUUCCUCUUCAAGGGAAAACCAGUGCUCAAGAGGUAGCAGGGGACACCCAAGGUGGGCACAACCCACCAGGGCGCGCCUGGGCCUCCUGGCGCGCCCUGGUGGGUUGUGCCUCCCUCAGGGCACCCCCAGGCGCAGCCAGGGCCCAUUGUGUUCCUUCUGGCCCACAAAAAUUCUCCGUAAAGUUUCGUGGCAUUUGGACUCCGUCUAAUAUUGAUUUCCUGCGAUGUAAAAGAACAUGCAGAAAACAACAACUGGCACUUGGCACUAUGUCAAUAGGUUAGUACCAAAAAAUGAUAUAAAAUGAUUAUAAAACACCCAAGAUUGAUAAUAUAACAGCAUGGAACAAGCAAAAAUUAUAGAUAUGUUGGAGACGUAUCAGCAUCCCCAAGCUUAACUCCUAUUCGUCCUCGAGUAGGGAAGUGAUAAAAACAGAAUUUUUUAUGUGGAAUGCUGCCUAACAUGUCAUAUCAUAUUCUUUUCUUUAUAGCAUGGUCUAGUUUUGACAUGAUAAUUUAAAUACUCAAGCAUAUCAACAAGCAACUGAUGUCGCUUGAAGCUACGUCGGUAUUUCCACAAAGAGGAAGGGAUGAUGCAGCACAACGGCGGUAGGUAUUUCCCUCAGAUAUCAAACCAAGGUUAUCGAACCAGUAGGAGAACCAAGCAACACAACGUAAACAGCCCCUGCACACAGAUAACAAAUCCUCGCAACCCGACGUGUUAAAGGGGUUGUCAAUCCCUUUCGGGGUACGGCGCCUCAAGUAGGCAAACGUACGUGAGAUAGAUUUGUAGUACCUUGAUAGAUCGAACGCCAAAUAAAAAAAAUGAGGAUAAAUUGCAGCAAGGUAUUUUUUAGGUUUUUGGAUUAAUAGAUCUGAAAAUAAAAGCAAGGAAAAAGUAGAUCGCAAAGGCAAAUAUAUGAGAAAGGGAUCCGGGGGCCAUAGGUUUCACUAGUGGCUUCUCUCGAGAAAAAUAGCAAACGUUGGGUGAACAAAUUACUGUUGGGCAAUUGAUAGAACUUCAAAUAAUCAUGACGAUAUCCAUGCAAUGAUCAUUACAUAGGCAUCACGUCCAAGAUUUGUAGACCGACUCCUGCCUGCAUGCAUCUACUACUAUUACUCCACACAUCGACCGCUAUCCAGCAUGCAUCUAGUGUAUUAAGUUCAUGGAGAAACAGAGUAAUGCAAUAAGAACGAUGACAUGAUGUAGACAAGAUCUAUCUAUGUAGAGAUAGACCCCCUUGUUUUAUCCUUAGUAGCAACGAUACAUACGUGUCGGUUCCCUUUCUGUCACUGGGAUCAAGCACCGUAAGAUCGAACCCACUACAAAGCACCUCUUCCCAUUGCAAGAUAAAUAGAUCAAGUUGGCCAAACAAAACCCAAAUAUCGGAGAAGAAAUAUGAGGCUAUAAGAGAUCAUGCAUAAAAGAGAUCAAAGAAACUCAAAUACUUUCAUGGAUAUAAAAAGAUAGAUCUGAUCAUAAACUCAAAGUUCAUCGAUCCCAACAAACACGCCGCAAAAGAGUUACAUAAUAUGGAUCUCCAAGAGACCAUUGUAUUGAGAAUUCAGAGAGAGAGAUGAAGCCAUCUAGCUACUAACUACGGACCUGAAGGUCUACAAAGAACUACUCACGCAUCAUCAGAGAGGCACCAAUGAAGGUGGUGAACCCCAUCCGAGAUGGUGUCUAGAUUGGAUAUGGUGGUUCUCGACUCUGCGGCAGCUGGAUGAAUAUUUCGUCGACUCCCCUAGGGUUUCCAGAAUAUUGGGGUAUUUAUAGAGCAAAAAGGCGGUCCGGGGGCACCCGAGGUGGGCACAACCCACAGGGCGCGCCUGGGCCUGCUGGCGCGCCCUGGUGGGUUGUGGCCCCCUCGGGGCACCCCCCAGGCGCAGCCAGGGCCCGUUGUGUUCCUUCUGGCCCAUAAAAAUUCUCCGUAAAGUUUCGUGGCAUUUGGACUCCGUUUGAUAUUGAUUUUCUGCGAUGUAAAAAACAUGGGAAAAACAGCAACUGGCACUUGGCACUAUGUCAAUAGGUUAGUACCAAAAAAUGAUAUAGAAUGACUAUAAAAUGAUUAUAAAACAUCCAAGAUUGAUAAUAUAACAGCAUGGAACAAUAAAAAAUUAUAGAUACGUUGGAGACGUAUCAGCAACCAUGUCUUUCAAAAUACCAACGCUAAAAUAAGUUAUCCCUAGCCCAUCAUGCUCAACCAUUGAUCCAUUCAUGAAACACACUCGCAUAUUAGUUACACCCAAUACUUAAGUACGAUCAUAUUGCCUCCUAGUUGGUUAUUUUGUAAGAGAAGAUGGAGACUCAAAUUCAAAUCAAAAUUUCAUAAAGUAAAAGAAAGGCCCUUCGCGGAGGGAAGUAGGGAUUUGUAGAGGUGCCAGAGCUCAAAGCGAAAAACUUAGAGAUAAAAACAUUUUGGGAGGUGUAUCCAUCCCACUAAUGAAAACGACUUAGAGUUCCCAGCACUCUCCAUGCUAGAUAUAUCAUAGGCGGUUCCCAACCAGAAAAUAAAGGUUGUUCCUUUUUCAACCAUACUUUCACUUUCCAUGGCUAGCCGUAUCCAUGGGUGCCUUCGAUACCAACACUUUCCAAGGAAUUUAUUAUUUGACAACAUAAAGUAAAUUCAUUUUUCAUUUCGGGACUGGGCAUACCUAAUACCUUUGCCUUACUCUCGUGCAAUGACAAGUGAAUAAACACUCAUCUUGAGAAUAACACAUCUAGCAUGGAAAAUAUUAGCCACCCCUCACCGCUCCGCGAGUGAAACAAACACACAAAAGAGAAGUAUUUUUGAAAAUUAGAGAUGGCACAUACAAAUUUGCUUAGAACGGCAAAAGAAUACCGCAUAUAGGUAGAUAUAGUGGACUCAUGUGGCAAAACUGGUUUAAAGGUUUUUGGAUGCACAAGUAGGGAUCAUACUUAGUGCAAAAUGAAGGCUAGCAAAAGAUUGAAAAGCGACCAACCAAGAAACGAGUAAUCUCAUAAGCAAGCAUUAAGCAUAAAUAACACCGAAUAAUGCACCACAAGUAGGAUAUAAUUUCAUCGCAUGACUAUUGACUUUCGUACUUGCAUAGGGAUUCACAAACCUUAACAUCAAUAUUCUUACUAAAGCAUAAUUACUCAUCAACAUAACUCACAUGUCACAUCAUCAUAUCUCAAAACUGUUACUAAGAAUCAAGUUUAUUUUGUCCAGUGAUCUUCAUGAAAGUUUUUAUUAUAUCCUUCUUGGAUAUCUAUCACUUUGGGACUAAUUUUCAUAUGUUGCUUUUCAUAAUCUCAAACAAACAUAAGUGAAGAUCAUGAGCAUAAUUUUUCUUUCUCUCAAAGUAAUUUAAGUGAAGCAAGAGAGAAUUUCUUGAAAAUUAGUAAUCACACCAUGCUCAAAAAGAUAUAAGUGAAGCACUAGAGCAAGUCCAUUGCUCAUAAAAAUUUAAGUGAAGCAUAGAGAGAAAUUCUAACAAGUCAUGACAUAAUUUUGGCUCUCUCAAGUAGGUGUGUCCAGUAAGGGAUCAAGACUUGAAACACAAAAUAAAACAAGCAAAGACUCAUAUCAUACAAGACGCUCCAAGCAAAACACAUAUCAUGUGACGAAUAAAAAUAUAGCUUCGAGUAAGAUACCGAUGGUCGUUAGAAGAAAGAGGGGAUGCCACUCGGGGGCAUCCCCAAGCUUAGUUGGUUGCUCAUUUUUGGAUAAUAGCUUGGGAUGCCGGGGCAUCCCCAAGCUUAGGCUCUUCUAUCCUUUAUUCCUUCAUCCAUCGUAAGAUAACCCAAAACUUGAAAACUUCAAUCACACAAAACUCAACAAAACCUUCGUGAGAUCUGUUAGUGUAAGAAAGCAAAUCACUACUAUAAGUACUGUACCAAACCAAUUCAUAUUUUUCUGCAUUAUAUCUACUGUAUUCCAACUUUUCUAUGGCAAAAACUCAUCAAAGAAAACCAUAGAGCCAUCAAAAUAAGCACACAACGCAAACAAAAACAGAAUCUGUCAAAACAGAAGAGUCUGUAGAAAUCUGACUAUUUCGAAAACUUCUGGAACUCCAAAAAUUAUGAACAAUUAGGAAGACCUGAGAAAUUUGUAUAUUAAUCUUCUGCAAAAAGAAUUGGCAUUUUAUCAUGCUCUGGUAAAAAAUAAGAAUUGUUUUCGUGAGCGCAAAAGUUUCUGUUUUUCAGCAAGAUCAAACAACUAUCACCCAAGAAGAUCCAAAAGGCUUUAUUUGGCACAAACACUAAUUAAAACACAAAAAACACAAUCAUAACAGUAGCAUAAUUGUGUUAACACUCAAUAACAGAAAGCAAAAAAUCAAAAAUAAAUUUUAUUCAUUGGGUUGCCUUGCAACAAGCGCUAUAGUUUUACGCCCUUAGCUAGGCAUAAAGCAAGGAUCUAAAUUUUUGUCAUCUUUGGUUCGAGAUCCAUAAGAUGCCCUCAUGAUUGAUUCAUAUGGUGGCCUAAUUCUUGUUCUAGUAAAGUGUUCCAUACCCUUCCUCAAAGGAAAUUGGAACUUAAUAUUGCCUUCUUUCAUAUCAAUCACGGCACCGAUAGUGCGUAAAAACGGUCUACCAAGAAUAAUUGGACAAGAUGGAUUGCAAUAAAUAUCAAGAACAAUAAAAUCUAUGGGAACAUAAUUCCUAUUUGCAAGAAUAAGAACAUCAUUAAUUCUUCCCAUAGGCUUUUUAACAGUAGAAUCCGCCAAGUGCAAAUUCAAAGAACAUUCUUCAAGAUCGCUAAGACCAAGCACAUCACAUAAAGAUUUCGGAAUUGUAGAAACACUAGCACCCAAGUCACACAAAGCAAAACACUCACAAUUUUUAAUCUUGACUUUGAUAGUAGGUUCCCAUUCAUCAUGCAAUUUUCUAGGAAUUGAUACUUCUAUUUCCAAUUUUUCUUCAAAAGCUUUCAUCAUAGCAUCAACAAUAUGUUUAGUAAAAGCUUUAUUUUGUUCAUAAGCAUGGGGUGAAUUUAUCAUGGAUUGUAACAAAGAAAUACAAUCAAUCAAAGAUCAACUAUCAUAAUUAAAGUCUUUGUAAUCCAAAAGAGUGGGCACAUCACUAGCUAAAGUUUUGACCUCUUCAAACCCACUUUCAUCAAUUUUCUCUUUUCUCAACAACAUUUUCACCCUCCGAAAUAUUGGGACGCCUUCUACCUAAAGUUGACUCUUCUCUAGUCCAUUUUUAAUCAAUUUUAACUUUAAUACACAAGGAAUCAAUAGAAGAAACACCAAUCAUUUUAAGAUCUUCAUCACUUUUGCGAAAGAAAUCACUAGAAAACGCUUUUUCUAAAAAUUCUCUUUUAGCUCUAAGCAUGGUGGUUCUUUUCUUACUUUCAUCCAUAGAAACAUAAAGAGCUUCAAUUGAUUCAUCUACUUUAGGCACACAAAUUUUCAUAUUGAGAUUUUCCACAUCAUGAGCAAUUCUAUCAACACUUCUAGACAAAUCAUCAAUCUUACUCAACUUUUCUUCUAUGGAAGUGUUGAAAACUUUUUGCGUGUUGAUAAAUUCUUUAAUAUUAUUCUUAAGAUAAGAGGUGUUCCUAUUAUUAUUAUAAGAUUGAUUUCCAUAGGAAUUACCAUAAUUAUUAGAGGAAUUACUAGGAAAAGGCCUAGGAUUAAAAUUACCUCUAUAAGCAUUGUUAUUGAAAUUAUUUCAAGAGAUAAAAUUCACAUCUAUGGCAUCACUAUUUUGCUCAAUCAAUGUAGACAAAGCCAUAUCAUUAAAUUCAAUAGGAGCACUUUUACUAGCAACCAAUUUCAUAAGAGCAUCAACUUUUUCACUCAAAGAAGAAAUUUCUUCAACCGAAUUAACUUUUUUACUAGUAGGAGCUCUUUCGGUAUGCCAUUGUGAAUAAUUUGCCAUGAUAUUAUCAAGAAAUUUGGUGGCUUCAUCCAAAGUAAUUUCCAUAAAAGUACCACCCGUGGCGGAAUCUAAAAUAUUACGAGAAACAAAAUUCAACCCCGCAUAAAAUUUUUGUAUGAUCAUCCAAAGAUUUAACCCAUGAGUUGGGCAAUUCCUUAGCAUCAUUUUCAUCCUUUCCCAAGACUGUGCAACAUGCUCAUGUUCAAGUUGCUUGAAAUUCAUGAACUGGGUUCUAAGGGAAAUAAUUUUUGCGUGCGGAAAAUACUUAGUGAUAAAAGCAUCUUUGCACUUAUUCCAAGAAUCGAUACUAUUGCAAGGCAAAGAAGAGAACCAAAUUUUUGCAGAAUCACGCAAAGAAAAUGGAAAUAAUUUCAUCUUCACAACAUCAUUGUCCACAUCUUUUUUCUUUUUCAUAUCGCAUAAUUCCACGAAGGUAUUAAGAUGGGAUGCGGCAUCCUCAUUAGGAGUGCCGGAAAAUUGAUCUUUCAUAACAAGAUUCAGCAAAGCAGUAUUAAUAUCACAAGACUCCGCACUAGUGGCGGGAGGAGCAAUUGGAGUGCCGAUAAAAUCAUUGUUGUUGGUAUUUGAGACAUCACAUAACUUGGUGUUCUCUUGAGUCAGGAUGACCACACAAUAAGAUUGCACUCAAAAACAGAUCCGGCAAAGAAAAUGGCGAACGAAAAAGAGAGGCGAAUAAAACGGCAAAUUUUGUGAAGUGGGGGAGAGGAAAACGAGAGGCAAAUGGCAAAUAAUGUAAAUUGCAAGGAGAUGAGAUUUGUGAUUAGGAACCUGGUAUAUGUUGAAGAUCCUCCCCGGCAACGGCGCCAUAAAUUCCUUUUGAUGUUGCUUGAAGCUAUGUCGGUAUUUCCCCAAAGAGGAAGGGAUGAUGCAGCACAGCGGCGGUAGGUAUUUCCCUCGGAUAUGAAACCAAGGUUAUCGAACCAGUAGGAGAACCAAGCAACACAACGUAAACAGCCCCUGCACACAAAUAACAAAUCCUCGCAACCCGACGUGUUAAAGGGGUUGUCAAUCCCUUUCGGGUACGGCGCCUCAAGUAGGCAAACGGACGUGAGAUAAAUUUGUAGUAAAUUGAUAGAUCGAACGCCAAAUAAAAUAAAUAAGAAAAAAUUGCAGCAAGGUAUUUUUGUAUUUUUGGUUUAAUAGAUCUGAAAAUAAAUGCAAGGAAAAAGUAGAUCACAAAGGCAAAUAUAUGAGAAAGAGACCCGGGGGCCGUAGGUUUCACUAGUGGCUUCUCUCGAGAAAAAUAGCAAACGGUGGGUGAACAAAUUACUGUUGGGCAAUUGACAAAACUUCAAAUACUCAUGACGAUAUCCAGGCAAUGAUCAUUAUAUAGGCAUCACGUCCAAGAUUAGUAGACCGACUCCUGCCUGCAUCUACUACUAUUACUCCACACAUCGACCGCUAUCCAGCAUGCAUCUAGUGUAUUAAGUUCAUGGCGAAACGGAGUAAUGCAAUAAGAACGAUGACAUGAUGUAGACAAGAUCUAUCUAUGUAGAGAUAGACCCCCUUGUUUUAUCCUUAGUAGCAACGAUACAUACGUGUCGGUUCCCUUUCUGUCACUGGGAUCAAGCGCCGUAAGAUCGAACCCACUACAAAGCACCUCUUCCCAUUGCAAGAUAAAUAGAUCAAGUUGGCCAAACAAAACCCAAAUAUCGGAGAAGAAAUAUGAGGCUAUAAGAGAUCAUGCAUAAAAGAGAUCAAAGAAACUCAAAUACUUUCAUGGAUAUAAAAAGAUAGAUCUGAUCAUAAACUCAAAGUUCAUCGAUCCCAACAAACACGCCGCAAAAGAGUUACAUAAUAUGGAUCUCCAAGAGACCAUUGUAUUGAGAAUUUAGAGAGAGAGAGAUGAAGCCAUCUAGCUACUAACUACGGACCUGAAGGUCUACAAAGAACUACUCACGCAUCAUCAGAGAGGCACCAAUGGAGGUGGUGAACCCCAUCCGAGAUGGUGUCUAGAUUGGAUAUGGUGGUUCUCGACUCUGCGGUGGCUGGAUGAAUAUUUCGUCGACUCCCCUAGGGUUCUGGAAAUAUUGGGGUAUUUAUAGAGCAAAGAGGCGGUCCCGGGGGCACAACCCACCAGGGCGCCCUGAUGACCCACAAGUAUAGGGGAUCUAUCGUAGUCCUUUCAAUAAGUAAGAGUGUCGAACCCAACGAGGAGCAGAAGGAAAUGAUAAGCGGUUUUUAGUAAGAUAUUCUCUUCAAGCACUUGAAUUAUCGGUAACAGAUAGUUUUGUGAUAAGGUAAUUUGUAACGGGUAACAAGUAAUGAAAGUAAAUAAGGUGCACGAAGAUGGCCCAAUCCUUUUUGUAGCAAAGGACAAGCCUGGACAAACUCUUAUAUAGAGAAAAGUGCUCCUGAGGACACAUGGGAAUUAUCGUCAGGCUAGUUUUCAUCACGCUCAUAUGAUUCGCGUUCGUUACUUUGAUAAUUUGGUAUGUGGGUGGACCGGUGCUUGGGUGCUGCCCUUUCUUGGACAAGCAUCCCACUUAUGAUUAACCCCUAUUGCAAGCAUCCGCAACUACAAAAGAAGUAUUAAGGUAAACCUAACCAUAGCAUGAAACAUAUGGAUCCAAAUCAGCCCCUUACGAAGCAACUCAUAAACUAGGGUUUAAGCUUCUGUCACUCUAGCAACCCAUCAGCUACUUAUUACUUCCCAAUGCCUUCCUCUAGGCCCAAACAAUGGUGAAGUGUCAUGUAGUCGACGUUCACAUAACACCACUAGAGGAAAGACAACAUACAUCUCAUCAAAAUAUCGAACGAAUACCAAAUUCACAUGACUACUUAUAGCAAGACUUCUCCCAUGUCCUCAGGAACAAACGUAACUACUCACAAAUCAUAUUUAUGUUCAUAAUCAGAGGGGUAUUAAUAUGCAUAAAGGAUCUGAACAUAUGAUCUUCCACCAAAUAAACCAACUAGCAUCAACUACAAGGACUAAUCAACACUACUAGCAACCCACAGGUACCAAUCUGAGGCUUUGGGACAAAGAUUGGAUACAAGAGAUGAACUAGGGUUUUAGAGGAGAUGGUGCUGGUGAAGAUGUUGAUGGAGAUUGACCCCCUCCCGAAGAGAGGAUCGUUGGUGAUGAUCAUGGCGAUGAUUUCCCCCUCCCGGAGAGAAGUUUCCCCGGGAGAACAGCUCUGCCGGAGCCCUAGAUUGGUUCCGCCUCGUGGCGGCGGAGUUUCUUCCCGAAAGCUUUAUGAUUUUUUCCAGGGUAAAAGACUUCAUAUAGAAGAAGAUGGGCACCGGAGGCCUGCCAGGAGGCCCACGAGGCAGGGGGCGCGCCCAGGGGGGUAGGGCACCCCCCACCCUCGUGGAUGGUGGGUGGCCCCCCUCUGGUACUUUCUUCGCUCAGUAUUUUUUAUUAAUUCCAAAAUAACUUCUGUGGAGUUUCAGGACUUUUGGAGUUGUGCAGAAUAGGUCUCUAAUAUUUGCUCCUUUUCCAGCCCAGAAUUCCAGCUGUCGGCAUUCUCCCUCUUCAUGUAAACCUUGUAAAAUAAGAGAGAAUUGGCAUAAGUAUUGUCACAUAACGUGUAAUAACAGCCCAUAAUGCGAUAAAUAUCGAUAUAAAAGCAUGAUGCAAAAUGGACGUAUCACGCGCCUGGGCCUCCUGACGCGCCCUGGUGGGUUGUGCCUCCCUCAAGGCACCCCCAGGCGUAACCAGGGCCCAUUGUGUUCCUUCUGGCCCAUAAAAAUUCUCCGUAAAGUUUCGUGGCAUUUGGACUCCUUCUGAUUUUGAUUUCCUGCGAUGUAAAAAAACAUGCAAAAAAUAGCAACUGGCACUUGGCACUAUGUCAAUAGGUUAGUACCAAAAAAAUGAUAUAAAAUGAUUAUAAAAUAUACAAGAUUGAUAAUAUAACAUCAUGGAACAAGCAAAAAUUAUAGAUACGUUGGAGACGUAUCAGUAUCUCGCUAGCCCUUUCUGAGACCGCAAAACAUAAAUGUAGAGCACCUCCAAAGUCCAAGCAACGACUAAACAUUGUAAUUCAUGGUAGAAAAGAUCCAGUCAUAAUGCAUCAACAUUAGCUACACACAAUGUAUCAGCAUGACAGCAGUGCUCUCAGGUUCUGGUGCUUAUUUCAGAGGGUGAUGACACAACAUAAAAGUAAAUAGAUAGUCCCUUCGCAGAGGAAAGCAGUGAUUUGCAGCGGUGCCAGAGCUCAAGUUUUAAAACAGAGGUAAAUGAUAUUUUGAGACAUGAACCCUUGUCAUUUACUUCACGACUAUCAGUUAUCAAUAUCUUCCAUGCUAAGCAUGCUAGUGGCGGUUCCCAAGCGAUAAAAGUAAAAGUUUACUCCCCCUCCACCAACAAUCACACUCCAUGGCUUGUCCGAAACAAUGGGUGUCGUCCAUACCAACAACAGUCCCGGGGGAGUUUUGUUUAAUUAUUCGCAUUUUGAGUUCAAGACUGGGAAUCCCUAUUACCGCCCUUUUCUCGUGCGAUGGCGAGUGAAUAAACACUUGACCUGAGAAUAACCCGCUUAGCAUGGAAGAUAUCGACCACCUCCUGUCGUUCCAUGAACGAUCCAGGCACACAAAAAGGAUAUUUAUUAGAAGUUUUUAGAGGUGGCACAUGCAAAUUUACUUAGGACGGCAGGGUAAUACCGCGUAUAGGUAGGUAUGGUGGACUCAUCUGGAAUAACUUUGGGUUCAAGGUUUUUGAUGCACAAGCUGAAUUCCCACUUAGUACAGGCGUAGGCUAGCAAUUAGAUUGAGAAGCGACCAGCUAGAGAGCAACAACGGUCAUGAACAUGCAUUAUGCAUAAGUAACAUUGGACACUAGCAUGAGUAGGAUAUGAACACCAUGAACAUAAAUAUCAUAGAGGCUAUGUUGGUUUUGAUUCAACUACAUGCAUGAACAUGUGCCAAGUCAAGCCACUCGAACAUUCAGAGGAGGAUACCAUAUCAUCAUACUACAUCACAAUCAUUUUAACGCGAUGUUGAUAUCCAAGAUAAAUCAUUAUCCACUCCUAGCUACUUAUGCAUGGCAUGAGAAACUAUAAUAUCUAAUUGUCAUUGCAAACAUGUUUAAUCAUAAUGGGCUGAAUCAUGGAUACUAGGUUAAACAUAUUUACACAAACAGAACAAGUCGAGUUCAUACCAGUUUCUUUCUGCCACGGCCAGUUCAUCGAAUAUCGUCAUUAUUGCCUUUCACUUGCACGACCAAACGAUAUGAAAAUGAUAACAGUUCAAGAGUGUUGUGGACUAAGCUGGAAUCUGCAAAUAUUUUAUUCAACAGGAGAAGAUAAGGUAAAAUGGACUCUUUAUUAGAUCAACGGUUAUUCAUGUGAGAGCCACUCAACAUUUUCAUCGUGGUCUUCUCCUUGAUAUGACUCAAAUAAAAAGAAUAGAAAUUCACAGAAACAUACUGAAAUAUAUUUUUGGAGUUUUUGGUUUUAUUGAACAAGCAAAUAAAAGGGAAAAGAAAAAAGAGAAAAACUAUUUACACGGGAAAGCUCCCAAUAAGCAAAAGAAGAACAAGGAAAUAUUUUGGGUUUUCUUUUUAGUAUUACAACUAAGCAUGCAUAGAAAGUAAACUAACUACAACUAUUUUUUUGGUUUUUUUCCUAAGGUUUUUCAAACACACAAGAAGAAAGCGAGAAAAUAAAAUUAAGAAUGGAUAAUACAAUGAAAAAGUGUGAACACCGACAAAUGGAAUAAGUGGACAUGAAUAUAAAGUCGGUGGAAACACGUACUCCCCAAAGCUUAGGCUUUUGGCCUAGCUUGGUAAUCGAUCAGUAGCCUGGAUAGUAGUCGGGGUGCUGAGGAGCGGGCAUCCACUGAUCCCACUCUGAGGCUCCUCAUCUGCUGCAGCUUGGUCAUUCCGGUAGGCGAUGAUGUACGCAUGCAUAAUCCUAUAUCCACCCAUGGUAACAGGAUCAAACAAAGCAUGAGCAGGCAAUGGAAUAAUAUCACGAGUUUCAAUGCUAAAAACCAGAUUAUAAGGAAUAGGAAUGUUAGGGUAAUCUCGUGCAAUAAAAUGGUGGUGUUCCAUGGCUGCGCGGUCUAGGUAAACCUUGGUCAGAGGGUAAUCAUGAAGGCGUAUCUCAACAUUGAAGUGAGCCGCCAAACGAGUAGCGAAAAUCCCACCAUGUAUUUUAUCCUUGGACUUAUUAAUAUAGAGACGACGUUCCACAAUAGCUCCCAAGCUAUAAGUGUUGUCGCCCUCUUGUGCACAACAUAAAACGGCAAGGUCUGAUGAACUGAGUGCACCCACCUUCUCUCUAGCAAGCAAGCAUUUUUCAAUGAAAAGAGCAAAGUAAUGAACAACAGGAAAAUGCAAGCCAGCGGCAGUGAUAGCUGACACCCCUCUCUCAUCUCCCACUGUCAAGGUACGAUAAAAGGCCUCAAACUCUGCCGGCCUAGGCUCAACUAAACUCCCGUCAGAAGGCAUCAUGCAUAUGUUAGAAAAUUCAGUAAGUGGUAUCUGACGGGUUUUAGCAUAUUAAUUAAACUGUACCUCAGGAGGAUUAUUCCUAGGAAGGAAAGUAAAACUUUGAACAAAGAUGUUUGUGAGGAGAUGAUACUGUUCACAUUCAGCUGCGAUGAAGUCGGUGAGGCCGGCAUUAGCAGCAUAUUGUGUGAACUCCUGAAGGAUUCCAGCCUCUUCCAUGAACUGGGUGCGCGGCCAUUCGCACGGCCGUACUUCUGCCAACCACCGAGGAUGGAGAUCACUGUCAGAUGACUCCCCAAUAACACCAUUGGAGUUCUUCUUAGAAGCAAACUUCCUAAAGAUAUUCAUCCUUUUCCUAUGAACAAAAAUUCUGAAAUUUUGAGUCCAUAAACUUUUCUCAACAAAACUUCACAAAAUUGAUAGCAACUACUCAUAGGGAUACAUAGAGGCCAUAGCAAGCAUUCAAACUACUUAGAACUCUAAGAAUUCAACAUGCAAGCUUAUCUACAGCAGCACCAAGAGUAGCUAAUUAUUCAAAAUAUAAACCAGUAAAACAAAAACUAAUUAGACAAACGGUGGAGUCACAUACUGAGCAACAAUCCCCCAAAACAGUUUCCGAAAUGGAGCUUCGAGCAAAGAGAUAGAAAUCUGCGGGUUUGACAGCAAGAACACGGGAGAGAGAGAGCAAUGGAUAAUUUUUUCUGGAGGUAAGUGAUGAUGUGGUGUGAAGGGAUAAGUGAGGGGGCCACGUGGGGACCACAACCCACUAGGGCGCGCCUGGGGGGUCCUGGUGCGCCCAUGUGGGUUGUUCCCACCUGGUGCACCUCCCUCUCGUAUUAUUUGCACCAGAAAUUCGUAAAUAUUCAAAAAAAAUCAUAUUAAAUUUUCAGAGCAUUCUGAGAACUUUUAUUUUUGGGUCAUUUUUUCAUUGCACAGGAAAUCCAGAAAACAGACAAAACAUGGCAUUUUAUUUUAUUUAACUAAUGAAAACAGAAAACAAAAGGUAGGGACAGAAGAUAGUGCUUACUAAAUUCAUCAACUUCAUACCUCUAAAAAAUGGUCCAUUAAUAAGGUUGAUCAAGUCUUAUUAACAACCACUUUCGAUUAGCAUGAAACCGAAGAACUUUUGUAAAUCACUAAGUUACCUCAACGGGGAUAUGGAUGUCCCCAACAAUAAGCAUUUCAUAUUUCUUUUUAACAGUAGGUAGAGGUAUUUGAAAACUUCCAAUAGUGAUUGUCAGAGAUUUUUCAAUAACAUUAAUACCAUUCACUUGGAAUUGUUUCUUCGGAAAGUGCAUCGUAUGCUCAUUACCAUUGCUAUGAAAAGUGACCUUGCUUUUAUUGCAAUCAAUAGCAGCCCCUGCAGUAUUCAAGAAGGGUCUACCAAGGAUAAUCGACAUGUUGUCGUCCUUAGGCAUCUCAAGUAUAACAAAGUCAGUCAAAAUAGUAACAUUAGCAACAACAGCGGGCACAUCCUCACAGAUACCGAUAGGUAUGGCAGUUGAUUUGUCAGCCAUUUGCAAAGAUAUUUCAGUAGGUGUGAGUUUAUUCAAAUCAAGUAUUUUAUAUAAAGAGAAAGGCAUAACACUAACACCAACUCCUAAAUCACACAAAGCAGUUUUCACAUAGUUUCUUUUGAUAGAGCAAGGUAUAGUUGGUAUUCCCAGAUCUCCAAGUUUUUUAGGUACUCCAUCUUUAAAAGUAUAAUUAGCAAGCAUGGUGGAGAUUUCAGCUUCCGGUAUUUUUCUCUUAUUGGUGAUGAUGUCUUUCAUAUACUUUGCAUAAGAAGGCAUUUUCAAGAUAUCAGUCAAGCAAGUACGCAAAAAGACUGGCCUCGACAUUUCAGGAAAGCGUUCAAAUUCUUCAUCAUCUUUCUUUUUAGUUGACUUAGGUGGAAAGGGCAUAGGUUUUUGAACCCACGGUUCUCUUUCUUUACCGUGUUUUCUAGCCACAAAGUCACUUUUAUAAUACCUUUUAUUCUUAGGUUAUGAAGAUCAACUGGUGGUUCUAUCUCAACAUCAUUGUCUGGUUCUUCAUUAUUUGUUUGAGUAUUUUCAUGAACCUCAUCAUUAUCAUUUUCAUUAUCAGAAGGUGAGUGUUCAUUACCAGACUGAGUUUCAGCAUUAGAGAUAGAAAUUUCAUUAUCAUUACCAGAAGGUUUUUCUACUUCAGGUUCACUAGAGGCAUGCAAAGUCCUAUCAGUUUUCUUCUUCUUUUUCUUUCUAGAAAGACUAGGUGCACUAGUGUUAUUUAUUUGUGAGUCUUGUUCAAUUCUUUUUGGGUGUCCCUCAGGAUAAAGUGGUUCCUGAGUCAUUUUACCUCCUCAAGUUGCUACUCUAACACCAAAGUCAUGUAUAUUAUUAUUCAUUUCAUCAAGCAACUCUCUUUGAGAUUUAGCAACUUGUUCUAAUUGAGUUUGAACCAUAGAAGCAUGUUUUCCAACACCUCUAACAUCAUUUGAGAUUAUAAAUAACAAGUCACUCAAGCGAGCAAUCAUAUCAGAAUUAUAUUUCAAUUGUUUCAUAAUAUUUGCAUUGAACUGAUCUUGUUUUCUAAUGUAGUUUUCAAACUCAUAAAGGCAUUGGCUAGGGUGCAUAUUGUGAGGAUUGUCAUUAUCAUUGAACUUCAUUAGAGAAUUUACCUCUACCACCUUGGGUGGUGGUGGUGUAUUAAGCCCAUGUAUUUCUUCAAUAGGAGGUAAAUUUUUAACAUCAUCAGCUUUAAUACCUUUUUCCUUCAUAGAUUUCUUUGCCUCUUGCAUAUCUUCAGGACUGAGAUAUAAUAUACCCCUCUUCUUCAUAAUGGGUUUGGGUGAUGGUUAUGGAAGAGUCCAAUCAUCAUAAUUUUUUUAUAUAUUAUUCAACAAUUCUUGAACUUGCCCAAUAGUUCGUUCCCUGAAAACACAACCAACACAACCAUCUAGGAAAUCCCUAGAAGCAUCGGUUAGUCCAUUAUAGAAGAUAUCAAGUAUUUCAUUUUUCUUAAGAGGAUGAUCAGGCAAAGCAUUAAGUAACUGGCAAAGCCUCCCCCAAGCUUGUGGGAGACUCUCUUCUUUAAUUUGCACAAAGUUAAAUAUUUCCUGUAAGGCAGGUUGUUUCUUAUGAGCAGGAAAAUAUUUUUCAGGGAAGUAAUAAAUCAUAUCCUGGGGACUACGCACACAACUAGGAGCAAGAGUAUUGUACCAAGCUUUAGCAUCACCUUUUAAUGAGAACGGAAAUAAUUUGAGAAUAAAGUAAUAGCGAGUCUUCUCAUCAUGAGUAAAAAGGGUGGCUAUGUCAUUCAACUUAGUACACAACAGUUUCAGUUUCAUAAUCAUGGAAAGGAUCGGAUUCAACCAAAGUAAUUAACUCUAGGUCGACAGAGAAUUCAUAAUCCUUAUCAUCAAUAAAGAUAGGUGAAGUAGCAAACUUAGGAUCAUAUUUCAUUCUAGCAUUCAGAGAUUUUUCUUUAUACUUGCAUAAUAAUUUCUCUAGAUCAUCUCUAUCCUCACAAGCAAGAAUAUCUCUAGUUGUCUCCUCAUUCAUAACAUAACCUUCCGGUACCUUAGGCAAUUCAUAUCUAGGAAGGCUAGUUCUAGCAGGUGUUUCAGGAGUUUCACUUUCAAGCUCAUCAUCAGAUUCAACAACAUCAUGUUGUAUUACUCUAGCAAUUUGUUCAUCAAGAAAGUCACCAAGUGGCACAUCAUUAUCAUCAAGCAAGGUACUAGCAUCAUCAUAAGUAUCAUUCAUAGCAGAAGUGGCAUCAUCAAUAACUUGCGACAUAUCAGGAUUAAUAGCAUGUGGUGGUGUUGCAAGUUUACUUAUAACAGAAGGUGAAUCUAAAGCAGAACUAGAUGGCAGUUCCUUACCUCCCCUCAUCUUAGAGGGAUAAAUCUUAGUCUUAGCAUCCUUCAGAUUCUUCAUAGUGAGAAAUUGAUAAUAAUCCCAAGUGACUCAACAAAUAUAGCUAUGCUCCCCAGCAACGGCGCCAGAAAAAGGUCUUGAUAACCCACAAGUAUAGGGGAUAGCAACAGUAUAGAGUAUUCAACCCAAAUUUAUAGAUUCGACACAAGGGGAGCCAAAGAAUAUUUGAAGGUAUUAGCAGCUGAGUUGUCAAUUCAACCACACGUGGAGAUUAAUUAUCUAUAGCAACAUGAUCAGUAGCAAAGUAAUAUAAUAGUUUUGAUAAUAGUGACCGCAGUAACAGUAACGGUAACAGUGAUAGCAGUAGUUUUGUAACAAGUGCGAUAGUGAUGAUAGCAGUAGUAACUUAGCAAGAACAAUAUAAGAUAAAUUCGUAGGCAUUGGAUCGGUGAAUUGUUGGAUGAUAUUCAUCAUGAGACAGUUAUAACCUAGGGCGAUACGGCACUAGCUCCAGUUCAUCAAUAUAACGUAGGCAUGUAUUCCGUAAAUAGUCAUACAUGCUUAUGGAAAGAACUUGCAUGACAUCUUUUGUCCUACCCUCCCGUGGCAGCAGGGUCCAAUUGGAAACUAAGGGAUAUUAAGGCCUCCUUUUAAUAGAGAACCGGAACAAAGCAUUAACACACGGUGAAUACAUGAACUCCUCAAACUACGGUCAUCACAGGGAGUGGUCCCGACUAUUGUCACUCCGGGGUUGCCGGAUCAUAACACGUAGUAGGUGACUAUAACUUGCAAGAUCGGAUCUAGAACAUGGAUAUAACGGUGAUAACAUAAACGGUUCAGAUCUGGAAUCAUGGCACUCGGGCCCAAAGUGACAAGCAUUAAGCAUGGCAAAGUCAUAGCAACAUCAAUCUUAGAACAUAGUAGAUACUAGGGAUCAUGCCCUAACAAAACUAACUCGAUUACAUGAUGAAUCUCAUCCAACUCCUCACCGACCAGCGAGCCUACGAAGGAAUUACUCACUCCCGGUGGGGAGCAUCAUGGAAUUUGGCGAUGGAGAAGGGUUGGUGAUGACGAAGAACGAAGAUCCCCCUCUCCGGAGCCCCAAACGGACUCCAGAUCUGGGAUCCCAAUGAAGAACAGGAGGUGACGGCGGCUCCGUCUCAUGGAUCACGAUAAUUCUUUCUCCCUGAUUUCUUUCUGGAAAAAUAGGAUUUUAUAGCGUCUGUUUCAGGGUCUGCGGGGCCACCAGGUGGGGACAACGCACCUGGGCGCGCCAGGAGGGGGGCGCGCCCUGGUGGGUUGUGCCCACCCAGGUGCCCCCCUCUGGUGGAUCUUGGCUCCAGAAAUUCUUUUUAUUGAUAUAAAAAUUCCUCACAAAGUUUCGUUGCAUUCCGAGAACUUUUAUUUCUGCACAAAAAUAACGUCAUGAUAUUUCAGCUGAAAACAGCAUCAGUCCGGGGUUAGUUUAUUCAAAUCAUGCAAAUUAGAAUCCAAAAUAAGAGGAAAAGCGUUACGAAAAGUAGAUACGUUGGAGACGUAUCACUGGAGCAACACGACCAUGGCCAUGGCAUGGCCGCUCGCAGGCGGGAGCUCGAUCGGGACGACAACAACGGAGCUCAAGGGGCUCGUCACCGGCUAGAUCCAGGCAGAGAACGGUGGGACUCGGGAGGUGCAGGGAACGGCAGCUCCGUCGUCACAGCGAAGAGGAUCGAUGUAGGGACCCAGCUCAUGCGGUCCGUCGCUAUUUUUCGGUUCACUUCUGUCCGUUCGAGACCCAUUUCUUGCCCGUAAUUGGUUCAGGUUUGGGUCGGGACGGACAACAAAUGGACAACUGUUUGGGUACUCCUGUUGGGCCAAGUUUUUUGUCUAGAUGACCCAAAAAGGACAAAAUGGGUUCCCGCAUUUGGGUUGGCCUAAGAACUUCAGAAAAAAAGAAUGAACUCUCAAGAAUUUCGUGCUAUAGGUACCCUACACAUCCACCCCAUCCCUCCUUCCCCGAAGCGCUCAGCAGUAAAAAUUCUAAGAAAAAAGGUUCUAAUUGUUCAGGGAAAACAGGAAUCCAACAAGAAAGAGUUGCCCACACUAGUGAAAAUCCUAGUACAAUGGUUGUGAGACACUUUUUUCUAGAUUUGUAUGAUACUCUUGUGUGGCUCUUUGGUUAGACAAGUUGUGUCGUGUGUUGUAGGCAAUUUCUCUAAUGCCUGCAGGCAACUUCUAUUUUUUGAAAAAAGAAAAUCAUCAGUAGGAUAAUGUUUUGGGUUGUUUUUUGCUUGGUAAGUUGUGCUUGCGGUGUAGGCAAAGUUUGUGAGUUAAAACCUAUUUAUGUAGCCAGCUUGUUAGUUUGGUGCCAAAACAAGGAAAAUGGGAAAUCAAAAGCAAGUCUUCCAAUGAUGUAGGCAAUUUGCAUAUAAGUUUCCAGCAACUCCCUUUUUUUGCUGAACAAAAAAGCUAACAGCCACCUACUAGGGAUGCAUAAAAACAUGUUGGGAAAAGCUCUGGGGUUGUGCGAAUUUUACCUGAAAGUUGUUGGUGAAUUUUUUUGCUUGCGAGAAAGGGGGCCAGAAAGCACGUAUUCCUUUGAUGUACGCAAUUUGCAUGUAAGUUUCAGGCAACUCCCUCUAUUUGUUGGAACAAAAAAGCUAACAGCCAUCUACUGGGGAGGCUGAAAAAACUAGUUAGAAAGCUAUUGGGAUGUGUGAAAUUUACCUGGAAGUGGCUGGCAAAGCUUCUUGCUUGCAAAGAGGGAAAAAUAAAACAAGUCCUGCUGGGAUGUACACAAAAUGCAUAUAAGUUUGAGGCAACUCCUCUUUUUUUCCUGAAACUGAAAAAUUGGAUAGCUUUGUGCGAAGCUUACCUGGAAGUGGAUGUUGAAGCUUCUUUCUUGAGCAUGUGCACAAAACCUCGAAAACUUUGCUUUGACAUCAUUUUAGAAUUUAGUGAGGCCCUACAAGCAAAACAAACACUCUGUUUAGGCAAGAAUAUCUACGAAAGCAUAUUUAUGAAACUUAGGUGCUUAGGAUAGUGUUCUGAGCAAUGGUAUUGGUUUUCUCCAGUAGGUACUAGUUAAAUAUUCAAAAUAUGGUAGGAUAGGAUAGUCGUUGUAGUAGCAGUAAUAGCAACCGUACAAAAUGACUUAGAAUCUUAAAUGCCUCUGCAUCUCGUGUCCCUUGCUCCCUCUCCAGUUAUAUUGUGUGGAACAUCAAGUUGUGAUGUGUCCCCUGGGCAAAUACAUCAGUGGUUAAAGGCAAGUUGUGCUCUGAUCUAAGCAAAUUGCAUAGUAUAUCCAGGCAACUCGAGGUUUUGUUUACAAAAAAGGAUUGAAAGGUAGAACCUCGUACUGGGUUUGUAAGCAACUUCUAUAGAUUCUGCAGCCAACUCAUUAGCUUGCCAGCCGAAGAAAAAUAAAUAGUGAAAGUCAGGAGCAACUACUACUUGGUUUGUAGGCAAUUUGCCUACAAGUUUCAGACAAUAAAUAUGGACCUAUAUUGUGUGGAACAUCAAGUUGUGUUGUGUCCACUGCACAAAUGCUUUUGUUGUUGCAGGCAAGUUGUGCUCCAAUCUAAGCAAAUUGCAUACUAUAUCCAGGCAAACCAGGUUCUAUUUAGGAAAGGGAUUAAAAUGUAGCAACUCAUACUUGGCUUGCCGACAAUUUCCAUAGAUUCUACAGCCAACUCAUUAGCUUGCUUGCCAAAGAAAAUAAAAUAGUGGAUACAAACUGCAUGUCGACCCAUUGAGCAAGUCCAAUAGCAGAAAUGAGGUACUUAUAAAAAAAAUCAUGCAAGUUUGAGCAAGUCCAAUAGAAGAAAUGAGUCUAAUAGCUCAAUAUAAAUCUGCUUUAUUAUAUGCCGUAAUCACUUGGACACAGAUAAGUAAAUAUCUAUCAAGUUUUCAUACAUGACACAUGUUCUUUAUAAUGGCUAGAAUGAAUUGGAAUGGUAACGAAACAACAGAUUACUUCAUUACUUCAUAAUGCAGUCUCUUUUUUGUCAUGUGUUACAUGAAAAAUCAUAGUACAGUUACCAUCAUACUAUGAAGUGCCCAUUUAAGAGAGUCUAUACUUGCUAUUAUCAUCUAUACCUACUAAUAAAAGAAAUAGGUAUUCUUAGUCCGUUAUGCUAUUUGUAGAAAACCUCCUGAUGUUUCUGACAUUAAACCCGCAGUACAUAUCAAAUGUUUUUUAAAAUACUCAUAUCUUUUAAAACGUAACUCCAAAUUUAACAUAUUAUAUAUGAAAUUUGAUUAGAAAAAUAUGUAGAAUCUAAAUAUGAUGUUAUUUUACCUGUUAAUAAUUUAAAAAAUAUAAUCUAGGCUGCAAUGUUAAUCAACAAUGCAUUAUCCGUCUUUUUUCAUACCGGUACUGAUUCAGAUUGGGGAUGAAUACCUCAACAAAAUCAGGAUUGGACAUCAAAUUGAAGAUAAAUUUGUUAGAGACACCAAUAAAUAAGGACAUGAAUGACAAGAAAUAAAAGGACCAAACAAAGAUGGGAUGUCCGCUAUAAAAUAAAUAAAAGAGAAAAUGCAGAGGAGAUCCGAUAAAGAUGAGAUGUUGCGCUAUUCUCCUAUAUAUAAUAAGAAAAAAAAUAGGAAAUGCAUGAAACAAGUAAAAAGAAGGCAUGCAUGACAAAAAAUAAAAUAAAAGACAAGUUUGAUAAGAAAUAAAUAGUGAUGAAAUAGGGACCAAUACCUAUGACAUGUAUGACAAUAAAUAGUGACGAAAUAGGGGCGCAAGUACCUGCAUCAACAUGAGACCAUAAAAAAUGUUCUUUUCCUGACAAAAAAAUUCUCUUUUUAUGAUUAAAAAUUCUGUAUCUUUUUAACAACUUUUUUAACUCUUCAUGUAUUUAAGAAAUAGCUACAAAUUCUCAGAUUAUAGAACUUUUUGUAAUUUAAGAGCGUGUGGUAUUUUUUCUCCCAUUGCAACGCACGGGCCUUUUUGCUAGUCUCUCCUAACUAUCACAACAGAUCAACCCAAGCUACAAUGCAAUCAUCACGCAUAGGGGAAGCACAACUGCAAAAGGAGGAAGGAGAGAGAGAAAACACUUUCAAAUUGCAGCCAUCACUAGCAACACUUCAAGAGAAAGGCACUAGCACCAUCAUCCACCUGCUACCUCGAUGCAAUUUUUCUGCUCCAGUCCAAGCUACAGCCAGCACCUGUACACGGUCACAAAGUAGAACUUCAAACAUCGUAGAUGGGGCAGCAAGAGAUAGAAGUAGGGAGAAAGACGUGGACCAACAGCUAGCAGCAGGAGGACGAGGCCAUCCCGGAUGCGGCCGGCGGCGAGAUGCUGGAGAGGAAGAGGCCCGCUGCACGGUGUGGGGGCCAGCGACCCUGAAUGAGGAGCGCGGGGCGGUGCGCGCUCGACUUCCUCGUGGAGAUGGGUGCGCGCUCGCCUAGCUUCGGAGGACACCAAUGCGGCCAACACGGACACGCCCUUGUCGCGGGAGGCCGAGCGCAGGUCGCCGGAGUCGAGCAUCGCGGCGACCGCGGAGACGACGGCGGCAGGGGGCCGACGGAUUCGGCAAGCGAGUCCAGCACCGCGGCUCUGGAGAUGGCCGAGCCAAGUCGGAGGCGGGAGAGUAGGCUGUAGGAUCCGCCACCUUGGCCCCCGACUUCGGCUGGGGAGACGAGCAGGCGCUCGCGGAGUGCGGCGCGGCCGGGGCCGCGGAUCGACGAACGCAACGGUGGAUUUGGGAGAAGAAACUGUGGUGCGCUUGUGGAUGGGGGAGCGUGGGUUUGGGUGGGGGCCACUACCGAUGUCUGUCGUUCGUUCGUGUUUCGCUUCGCUGUAACCCGACCGUGGAACACCUGGCGAUCGUGAUCCCGAUCAGACGGCCUGGAAGGGUGUGUGCUCAAGACCUCUAAUUUAGGAAAACAAAUAGCCCAAAGUAUUUAUCGUUCUCAUUUCUCAUGGAGCAACACACAGGCUACAUCCAGGACAUGAAGCAAGCGGGCAGAUCAAACCAUUUCCCCAAAGGAUCCUUGUAGUUUACACCAUGAUGUUACAAUUUGAACCACACAUUAUGUGUGCAGUUCACCACAGUUGCCUUGAUGGCUAUAACUCGCAGCUAGCGAGCGCCAACGCCUCACUUGCCGGGAACAAAGUUUGUGGCAAACGCCCAUGCGUUGUUGUUGACAGGGUCGGAGAGGUGGUCGGCGAGGUUCUCGAGUGGGCCGUUGCCGGUGACGAUGGCCUACACGAAAAAGCCAAACAUAGAGAACAUGGC
rnacentral:lncRNA from 1 species